GCCGAGGCGACGACGACGCUGCGCAUGCGGCGCGGGGCGGCUUGGAGCGCGAGGCUGGAGGCGGCUGAGACGGCCAUGGCCGGCGGUGAGGUGUGCCGGGCUCGCGCGCGUCUGCUCGAUCGGCUCGGCCUCAGGCGCGCGUGCGGUGAGGAGUGGCGGUGUGUGUGGCGCGGAGGAGGCUGCUCCUCCUCUCGUAGUGGGGCUGGGAGGAUGUGGUGGACACCGGUGGGUUUGGUUGGUUGCCUCUCGUCGCGCCAACGAGGAGCGGACAUGUCACGCUCACACCAGACAAGUGGCUCCCGAUGUGGCCGCGGCUGGGCUUCUCAAGCAGUCAAGCUCGUGACGGCGACUUCCGGCACGACUCACGAAGACGUGGCGGUGAGCCGGACCGUCAAGCAGCUGCUCCGGUAGCGCCGCACAUGGAGCCCUGCGGUGCUCGGGUCCAUGAACGGCAACCGGCAGCCGUUGCUUUAUUUGCUACUUGCUCCAGUGAUUGAGCACAUAAGCAGAUUAAUCUUCCAUCAGCACUUGCACUUCUAGCAGUGAUUUUACUCCUGUUUUAGACUAUAACCAAUACUUAUAUUUCAGUAUUGUUUUCUGUUGAGUACCAAUGUAUUCGAGAUCUUAAGUUGAUGUAAUAUGUUUCCACGUUUAUCACGUGUCGAGAUUAAUUACGUCCAUUUGCAAUUGAGAUUUUUAAUCUCUUGCAAAGAUAAAUUCAGUACAUCUACAGUACUGAUUUGCGAUUGAAAAUUUUAUUCUUCCGCAAAACAAUCUCAUUGUGGUUGAGAUUAAUCUCUCUCGCGAAACAUAUUAAUUCACCAUGGUUAAUUAUCUUGCAAUUUGAUACAAGAUCAUCUCAUUUAAUAUGAAGUCUAUACAAUUCAAGUUUUUCACUUGAUCAUCAAGUUUGCAACAUCAUUACUAUUCAUUACAAUAGUAGUGUAUAUCUGUAGAGUACAUUGUAUUCCAGAAUAAAUUGUGAUGUAAUAAAUUUCCAUGUUAUUCUAUAUGUCGAGAUUAUUUACAUCUGUUAUUUGCAAUUGAGAUAUUCAAUUUCUUGCAAAUAAAAAUCAAUUCAUUUUAAUUGAGCCAUUGGCUUGAUACGAGCAAGAAUUGAUAUCCAAAUUCUUAGUGUUGUUUUUCAAAUUGAUAUUUUGAGAAUCACAAGGUAGUGUGUAGAUCUACCGCUUUGCAGAUCAUCACCACUACUAUUAAAGCCUGCAUUUUGUCACUUUGACAAUAUGAUUGCUUUACAAAAUGUCCUCCCCACAUAUUUCACUAAGUCAUGACAUAAGGCAUUACGAGUGAGUAUAUACUGAUUUCAUCGGAUUAUACUCCCUAGUGCUGCGAGAUCCACUCCAUUUUGAAGAUUAUCUUCAAAGUGUCAUACUUAGCAAUUUGAGAUUCACGUUAAUGGUCUCAAGAUAACUUCUUGAAAUACUCAUUAAUUUUGCUAAGCUCACUACAACAUUAACCAUGGUAGUCUUUAAUUUACUAACCGUAAAUUAAUUAUCUCUCGUAACUGAUGGCUAGAGAAUUUGAGGCAUUCGCGCCUCAAUAGCCACCACUGCCUUUCCAUGGGCCAAGGAAAUUAUGAUCACUCUUGAGUCUCGUGGGAUAAUGUGUGAAAUCCAAAACUGUAAGAUUUAUCUAUGGUCAGGAUCACACCGCUAACAGAAAAAUGUUGUCUUAUACAUAAUAAGGCGUUAUAUUGGUUCAGGUCUUAGCAUCUGGUUAUUCCGUAUCAACAAUUCCUGGGCACAAUGAACCUCAAGGGCAAAGGCUUGAAGCUCACUUCAACCUUCAACCUGACAUCACUAAUGAUGACGGAUCCUAUGUGCAUGGAGAAUGUGUGGUUCAUUAUGCCUCAACCGACAUGUUUGGAGAUUAUGAGUAGUCUCUCAAUCUCAAUGUACAAAUACAUUUGUAUGUAUUCUAUAUAUCCGACAGUGAAUUUUUGAGAAUCAUCAUGCCUAUAUAUAGAUUUCUACGAGGGUCAAUCUGAUGAAAGAUGAAUUGUGCAUUAUGGACAUAUGCGCCACGGACUCUAUACUCAGGAAAGUCCAAUGUUUUCACUCUCGUUGAGAGAAAGGAGAUAUUUUAAAAUCGCUAGACGUGAUGAGGUAUUUGUUGGCUCAACUUGAGUCAUAUUUACUAUCCCUGUGGGUACUCGAGUAACGUCGGGAUGCUUUAUUGCUUCCCAGAUUUAACUCGUACCCUACUAAACUAUAGAGGUAUCCGUCAAAAUAGUUCCCAUAGCGAAACUUAUGAUGACAGCAACGAAUAUGGCAGGCAAAUUUUUUAUGUAUCAUCUGAAUUGUACUACACAUACGACACAACCCGUAGCACAUGUUGCGUAUGAGAUAGUUUUCCAGAGUAUCUUGUACAUGACAAACUUGGCAUUCUCGCCUUGGUCAUCGAGAUAUUGGGUUGAAAGCGAAAGUAUCACCAAUUCCAAUAGUUUAUGAUUAUUAUGAUGCUAAAUUCUAACAGUAUUUGGAUUUUGUGUGCACUACAUGUGACACAAGGAAGCUAAUUUUAAGGCUCGCGCACCUUAAAGUCUAUGCUGAACCACUCAGACUCCUUGAAUGCAUCAAGUCGAGGUAAGUGGCUCUUCCCAUCCAUUGACUAGACCAUUUAGGUAUUCCAUGGUUCUAAAAGCCAUAUCUAUAUGAUUGUCUCAAGUGUGAUUUAUUCACAUGAAACCAUUGGUGAUGGGAAACGUCGCAUGGGAAACAAAAAAAAAUUCCUACGCGCACGAAGACCUAUCAUGGUGAUGUUCGACUACGAGAGGGGAUUUCCGAUCUACGUACCCUUGUAGAUCGCACAGCAGAAGCGUUAGUGAACGCGGUUGAUGUAGUGGAACGUCCUCACGUCCCUCGAUCCGCCCCGCAAACCGUCCCACGAACCGUCCCGCGAUCCGUCCCACGAUCUAGUGCCGAACGGAUGGCACCUCCGCGUUCAGCACACGUACAGCUCGACGAUGAUCUCGGCCUUCUUGAUCCAGCAAGAGAGACGGAGAGGUAGAUGAGUUCUCCGACAGCGUGACGGCGCUCCGGAGGUUGGUGGUGAUCUGAUCUCGGCAGGGCUCCGCCCGAGCUCCGCAGAAACGCGAUCUAGAGGUAAAACCGUGGAAGUAUGUGGUCGGGCUGCCUUUGAAAAGUUGUCUCAAAUCAGCCCUAAUUGCUCCAUAUAUAUAGGAGGAGGGAGGGGAGGCUUGCCUUGAGGCUCAAGGAGCCCCAAGGGCUGCGCACCAAGGGGAGGAGGAGUCCUCCUCCAAUCCUAGUCCAACUAGGAUUGGAAAGUGGAGUCCUUCUCUCCUUUCCCACCUCCUUUUUUUCUUUCUCUUUGAUUUUCUAUCCUUCGCGCAUAGGGUCCUCUUGGGCUGCCCCACCAGCCCACCAAGGGCUGGUGCGCCACUCCCAAGGCCUAUGGGCUUCCCCGGGGUGGGUUGCCCCCCCGGUGAACACCCGGAACCCAUUCGUCAUUCCCGGUAACUCCGAAAACCUUCCGGUAAUCAAAUGAGGUCAUCCUAUAUAUCAAUCUUCGUUUCCGGACCAUUCUGGAAACCCUCGUGACGUCCGUGAUCUCAUCCGGGACUCCGAACAACAUUCGGUAACCAACCAUAUAACUCAAAUACGCAUAAAACAACGUCGAACCUUAAGUGUGCAGAACCUGCGGGUUCGAGAACUAUGUAUACAUGACCCGAGUGACUCCUCGGUCAAUAUCCAAUAGCGGGACCUGGAUGCCCAUAUUGGAUCCCACAUAUUCUAUGAAGAUCUUAUCGUUUGAACCUCAGUGCCAAGGAUUCAUAUAAUCCCGUAUGUCAUUCCCUUUGUCCUUCGGCAUGUUACUUGCCCGAGAUUCGAUCGUCGGUAUCCGCAUACCUAUUUCAAUCUCGUUUACCGGCAAGUCUCUUUACUCGUUCCGUAAUACAAGAUCCCGCAACUUACACUAAGUCACAUUGCUUGCAAGGCUUGUGUGUGAUGGUGUAUUACCGAGUGGGCCCCGAGAUACCUCUCCGUCACACGGAGUGACAAAUCCCAGUCUCGAUCCAUACUAACUCAACGAACACCUUCGGAGAUACCUGUAGAGCAUCUUUAUAGUCACCCCGUUACGUUGCGACGUUUGAUACACACAAAGCAUUCCUCCGGUGUCAGUGAGUUAUAUGAUCUCAUGGUCAUAGGAACAAAUACUUGACACGCAGAAAACAGUAGCAACAAAAUGACACGAUCAACAUGCUACGUCUAUUAGUUUGGGUCUAGUCCAUCACGUGAUUCUUCUAAUGACGUGAUCCAGUUAUCAAGCAACAACACCUUGUAUAUAAUCAGAAGACCCUGACUAUCUUUGAUGAACUGGCUAGCCAACUAGGGGCUUGCUAGGGAUAGUGUUUUGUCUAUGUAUCCACACAUGUAUAUAAGUCUUCAUUCAAUACAAUUAUAGCAUGGAUAAUAAACGAUUAUCUUGAUACAGGAAUUAUAAUAAUAACUAUAUUUAUUAUUGCCUCUAGGGCAUAAUUCCAACAGUCUCCCACUUGCACUAGAGUCAAUAAUCUAGCCCUCACAUCAUCAUGCGAAUUACAUUGUAAUAAAUCUAACACACAUACAGUUCUGGUGUUGAUCAUGCUUUGCCCGUGGAAGAGGUUUAGUCAGCGGGUCUGCUACAUUCAGAUCCGUGUGCACUUUGCAUAUAUUUACGUCCUCCCCUUCGACGUAGUCGCGGAUGAGGUUGAAGCGUCGUUUGAUGUGUCUGGUCUUCUUGUGAAACCGUGGUUCCUUUUCUAAGGCAAUGGCACCCGUGUUGUCACAGAACAAGGUUAUUGGAUUCAGUGCGCUUGGCACCACUCCAAGAUCCGUCAUGAACUGCUUCAUCCAGACACCCUCCUUAGCCGCCUCCGACGCAGCCAUGUACUCCGCUUCACAUGUAGAAUCAGCUACGACGCUUUGCUUGGAACUGCACCAGCUUACAGCACCCCCAUUAAGAAUAAAUACGUAUCCGGUCUGCGACUUAGAGUCGUCCGGAUCUGUGUCAAAGCUUGCAUCGACGUAACCCUUUACGGCGAGCUCUUCGUCACCUCCACACACGAGAAACAUCUCCUUAGUCCUUUUCAGGUACUUCAGGAUAUUCUUAACCGCCGUCCAGUGAUUCACUCCUGGAUUACUCUGGAACUUGCCUGCCAUACUUAUGGCCAGGCUAACGUCCGGUCUAGUGCACAACAUUGCAUACGUGAUAGAUCCUAUGGCUGAAGCAUAGGGGACGGUGCUCAUAUGCUCUCUAUCUUUAUCAGUUGCUGGGCACUGAGUCUUACUCAAUCUCGUACCUUGUAAAACUGGAAAGAACCCUUUCUUGGACUGUUCCAUUUUGAACCUUUUCAAAACUUUAUCAAGGUAUGUGCUUUGUGAAAGUCCUAUCAGGCGUUUCGAUCUAUCCCUGUAGAUCUUAAUGCCUAGAAUGUAAGCAGCUUCUCCUAGGUCCUUCAUAGAGAAACUUUUAUUCAAGUAAUCCUUUACGCUCUCCAAAAACUCUACAUUGUUUCCAAUCAGCAAUAUGUCAUCUACAUAUAAUAUCAGAAACGCCACAGAGCUCCCACUCACUUUCUUGUAAAUACAAGAUUCUCCAACCACUUGUAUAAACCCAAAUGCUUUGAUCACCUCAUCAAAGCGUUUGUUCCAACUCCAAGAUGCUUGCACCAGUCCAUAAAUGGAUCGCUGGAGCUUGCACACCUUGUUAGCAUUCUUAGGAUCGACAAAACCUUUGGGUUGCAUCAUAUACAACUCUUCCUUAAGGAAACCGUUAAGGAACGCCGUUUUGACAUCCAUCUGCCAGAUUUCAUAAUCGAAAAAUGCAGCUAUUGCUAACAUGAUUCUGACGGACUUAAGCAUCGCUACGGGUGAGAAUGUCUCAUCGUUGUCAACUCCUUGAACUUGUGAAAAACCUUUUGCCACAAGUCGAGCUUUAUAAACGGUCACAUUGCCGUCAGCGUCCGUCUUCUUCUUAAAGAUCCAUUUGUUCUGAAUAGCCUUGCGGCCCUCAGGUAGUACUUCCAAAGCCCACACUUUGUUUUCAUACAUGGAUCCUAUCUCGGACUUCAUGGCCUCCAGCCAUUUGUUGGAAUCUGGGCCCACCAUUUCUUCUUCAUAAUUUGCAGGUUCAUUGUUGUCUAACAACAUGAUUGACAAAACGGGAUUACGGUACCACUCUGGAGCAGCACGUGGUCUCGUCGACCUGCGUGGUUCGAUAGGAACUUGAACCGGAGUUUCAUGAUCAUCAUCAUUAACUUCCUCCUCAACCGGCGUCGCAACAACAGGGGUUUCCCCUUGCCCUGCGCCACCAUCCAGAGGGAUGAGAGGUUCGACAACCUCAUCAAGUUCUAUCUUCCUCCCACUCAAUUCUCUCGAGAGAAACUCCUUCUCGAGAAAAGCUCCGUUUUUAGCAACAAACACUUUGCCCUCGGAUUUGAGAUAGAAGGUGUACCCAACUGUCUCUUUUGGGUAACCUAUGAAGAUGCACCUUUCCGCUUUGGGUUCCAUCUUUUCAGGCUGAAGCUUUUUGACAUAAGCAUCACAUCCCCAAACUUUAAGAAACGACAACUUUGGCCUUUUGCCAUACCACAGUUCGUAUGGUGUCGUCUCAACGGAUUUUGAUGGUGCCCUAUUUAAAGUGAAUGCAGUUGUGUCUAAUGCAUAACCCCAAAAUGAUAACGGCAAACCGGUAAGAGACAUCAUAGAUCGCACCAUCUCUAAUAAAGUACGAUUACGACGUUCGGACACACCAUUAUGCUGUGGUGUUCCAGGCGGUGUCAACUGUGAAACAAUUCCACAUUGUCUUAAGUGAGCACCAAACUCGAAACUCAGAUAUUCACCCCCACGAUCAGACCGUAGGAACUUGAUCUUCUUGUUACGAUGAUUUUCAACUUCACUCUGAAAUUGCUUGAACUUUUCAAAUGUUUCAGACUUGUGCUUCAUUAAGUAGACAUAACCAUAUCUACUCAAAUCGUCAAUGAAGGUGAGAAAAUAACGAUAUCCGCUGCGUGCCUCCACGCUCAUCGGACCGCACACAUCGGUAUGUAUGAUUUCCAAUAAGUCACUGGCACGCUCCAUUGUUCCGGAGAACGGAGUUUUAGUCAUCUUGCCCAUGAGGCAUGGUUCGCACGUGUCAAGUGAUAAAAAGUCAAGUGACUCCAAAAGUCCAUCGGUAUGGAGUUUCUUCAUGCUUUUACACCAAUAUGACCUAAGCGGCAGUGCCACAAAAACAUGGCGCUAUCAUUGUUAACUCUAACUCUUUUGGUCUCAAUGUUAUGUAUAUGUGUAUCACUAUCAAGAUUCAAUAUGAACAAUCCUCUCACAUUGGGUGCAUGACCAUAAAAGAUGUUACUCAUAGAAAUAGAACAACCAUUAUUCUCUGACUUAAAAUAGUAACCGUCUCGCAAUAAACAAGAUCCAGAUAUAAUGUUCAUGCUCAACGCAGGCACUAAAUAACAAUUAUUCAAGUUCAUNNNNNNNNNNNNNNNNNNNNNNNNNNNNNNNNNNNNNNNNNNNNNNNNNNNNNNNNNNNNNNNNNNNNNNNNNNNNNNNNNNNNNNNNNNNNNNNNNNNNGGAGAUCGUAUGUUCAUCAACAGCUAGAAAUUGGGGGGGGGGGGAGUGCGCUUGCUUAUUUGAUGAUUGCGUGUUUGUAAAAAGGUUGUUCUGUCAUGCGGUAUUAAAUGCACUCUAUUUGGUUUACAGUCCCGUGCGUUGCAACGGUAAACCAAAAUAUUACGUCGUAGCCAAAUAAGUAUGGCUCAAUAUCCUGACAUAUGAGCGUUCUCUAUUUUUCUAUUUUACCAUGAUGGCCCAUCAUAUUACCACUUAUUUUUUUUUGCCAUCCUCGUUGAUGAUGGCCCCGCUGUCCAUGUUAUCAAAUUUUGUAACAUUUUAUAAAUGUCACACACAUUUUCUUUGAAUUCAUGGAUAUGUUUUGAAUACAUCAUCAUUUUCAAAAUCUUGAAUGUUUUAUAUUGGAUGAAUAUAUUUUUCAAAAUUGUGAAUUCUUUUACGAUAUCGAAACAGUUCUUUAAAAUCAUCAACAUUUUUUAGUCCGUGAUCAUUUUAUGUUUUCCUGAAAGUUUAUUUAAAUUACAAACAUUUUAUGAUUUCAUGAUUCGUUUUUCCAAAACUCAAAACCUUUUAAAUACAGAAUUUUGAAAAAUUCUGAAUUAAUUUAUAGAAGAAAAAUAAAUUGAAAUAAGAAACAUUUUAUAUUUUCCAGAAUAUAUUUGUCAAAAUUGUGAAUUAUUUUAUAAUAUGCAAACUGUUUUUUGAAAAUCAUAAACAAUUUUGAAUUCCGCAAACAAUUUAUGAUUUCCUGAUCCUUCUUAUGAAUUUCUAGACAUUUUAUGAUUUCCUGAACAUUUUUUCUAUGUUUUGAAUACAUGAUCAUUUUCAAAAUCAUGAACGUUCUAUAUUUUCUGAAUAUAUUUUUGAAAAUUGUGGAUUCUUUUAUAAUAUGCAAACAUUUGUUCAAAACUCAGAACUUUUAAAAUUGGAAUAUUGAAAAGUUCCGAAUUAAAUAAAAGAUUAUAUUUUUGAAAAUUGUGGAUUCUUUUAUAAUAUGCAAACAGUUUUUCAAAAUUCAAAACUGUUAAAAUUGGAAUUUUGAAAAGUUCCGAAUUAAUUAAAAGAAGGCGACAAACAAAUUGAAAUAAUAAAACAGAAAAUCCGAUGUUUUGAAUACAUCAUCAUUUUCAAAAUCUUGAAUGUUUUAUAUUGGAUGAAUAUAUUUUUCGAAAUUGUGAAUUCUUUUACGAUAUCGGAACAGUUCUUUAAAAUCAUGAAAAAAAUUAGUCUGUGAACAUUUUAUGUUUUCCUGAAAGUUUAUUUAAAAUUACCAAACAUUUUAUGAUUUCAUGAUUCAUUUUUCCAAAACUCAAAACCUUUUAAAUACAGAAUUUUGAAAAAUUCUGAAUUAAUUUAUAGAAGAAAAAUAUAUUGAAAUAAGAAACAUUUUAUAUUUUCCAGAAUAUAUUUGUCGAAAUUGUGACUUGUUUUAUAAUAUGCAAACUGUUUUUUGAAAAUCAUAAACAAUUUUGAAUUCCGCAAACAAUUUAUGAUUUCCUGAUCCUUCUUUUGAAUUUCUAGACAUUUUAUGAUUUCCUGAACAUUUUUUCUAUGUUUUGAAUACAUGAUCAUUUUCAAAUCAUGAAUGUUCUAUAUUUUCUGUAUAUAUUUUUGGAAAUUGUGGAUUCUUUUAUAAUAUGCAAACAUUUUUUUCAAAACUCAAAACUUUUAAAAUUGGAAUAUUGAAAAGUUCCGAAUUAAAUAAAAGAAUAUAUUUUUGAAAAUUGUGGAUUCUUUUAUAAUAUGCAAACAGUUUUUCAAAACUUGAAACUUUUAAAAUUGGAAUUUUGAAAAGUUUCAAGUUAAUUAAAAGAAGGCAACAAACAAAUUGAAAUAAUAAAACAGAAAAUCCGAUAAAAAAGGUGUUGUUCAGGAAUCAAACCUGGGAUUCGUGAAUGGUGUAGCUGCACUAAAGCCAAUAAGCCAAGCUAGCUGUUGUUGCUUUCAAAGGUCUCGCCUCGCCAUUUAAGUACUGAUACGGACGGCGACUUUGACAGAUUCCAAAAUCAAAUCGUUUCCUUCAUUUAUGGGUCGCAUAUUGGGUAAUUUAAUACAACAUCAGGGGUACAAAGCGCCUGCUAGAGAAACAAAAAUAAAAAUAGAAAUAAAAAUAAAGUAAAAAUAAAAGUUAAAAUGACCGGAAUAGGAUCGGGGCUUUGAACCCGACGUGAAUCGAACACGCAACCUUCUGAUCUGGAGUCAGACGCGCUACCAUUGCGCCACGGAUCCGGUGUGUUGUUGCUCGCUGACCAAUCUACAAGAGCGACAUUAAUGGUAGAUUAGGGACUUAAGCUACAGAGAAGUACGCUGUAGCUUCAUUAUCAUAUCAUAGAUUAUAGGCUGAAUUUUUUCCAAUUAACAGUUCCUUUGGAGCUUAAAUUAAGGAGCUGGUGCAGCAUGUGGUCGUGGCCUCAUGUGGUUCUCCAGGUUGAUGGAGAGUUUGAGACGUGCCCUGCCAACGACGGCCAGUCUCGCGCUUCCCUCGGCGCCAUCUUUAGUUUGUUCUCCUGCUCCUGCGUGAGGUGCCACGGUUGAGACAUUUCUGGCGCUCCAGAAGGAGAAUGGGCCUUCUCCAGUCCAGAGGUUUGCUGCUGGUUCAGCAAAAAUGGUAGAGAAUGUAUCCAGUCAGCUACUUCCUUUGUCAUGAUACAUUCACAUCCAGGUAAAUCUAAAAUAAAUAAUUUAGUACGAAGAAUAUUAGCCAAGGCGAGAGCACAAUAGUAAGCUUUGCAUGUUGACAUGAGCAAAAAAAACAUCUCUAGCAAACUCCGCAAACGGCCGGCCCGAAAAAAUGGUUUGAGAGAUCCCGCAAAAACAUUUUAUGGGACGACGAGCCCUCUGACGGAACAGUUUCCGUAAACCCGUCCCGUAGAUGUUAUGCAAGACGCGUUUGCGGGAUCUAUUCUGCGUCGGAGGACUCGUUGUUCCGCAAAUACAAUUAUAUGCAAAUAUUAUCAAGUUUAUCAUGACAGGUGCAUCAUUUUCAUAUAUAUACAUUACUAGCUAGUAGAUCAUCAUACUAGUUCAUCACAUCCAAAAUGAUGAGCUUCAUGUAUGCACGAUAAACUAGGCAAAAGAUGCACAAAUCACAUAGAUCAAUCAAGCUCCAUCACCAACAUUGACCGGAGAGCUCGCGCCAUCACCUUCACGAACUUCAACCGGAGAGCUCGCACCACCACCUUUAUGGACUUGGACCGGAGAUUGAGUGUGGCCAUCAUCACCACCAUUGACAUGGCUUGCCGAAGCACCACCACCAUUGUCGAAGACACCACCACCACCAUUGUCGAAGCCACCACCACUACCACCACCAUUGCCGAAGCCACCCUACCACCACCACCNNNNNNNNNNNNNNNNNNNNNNNNNNNNNNNNNNNNNNNNNNNNNNNNNNNNNNNNNNNNNNNNNNNNNNNNNNNNNNNNNNNNNNNNNNNNNNNNNNNNAACUUACCCGAACUCCCGUUUCGUAGNGACCCUCGGGACCCCAGGAACUACAGUGAGAAUAGCAUAGAAAACUGGCCAGAAUGGACCAAUACUGCGAGUUUUGACGAGGUCCCCGGAGUUCGCAGACUGUUUGGAUCUCCCCGGGAACAAAAUUUAGUGAGUAAUAGCAUAGAAAACUAGCCAGAAUGGACCAAAUGUGCGAGUUUUGGCGAGGUCCACGUAACCGAUCCCUGGAGUUCGCGAAACGUUCGGAUCGCCCCGGGAACCAAAAUCAGUGAGUAAUAGCAUAAGAAACUUUCCAGAAUGGACCAAAUCUGCGAGUUUUCAUGAGGUCCCCGUAACCACACAUUGAAGUUCCCCGAACAUCUUUAUUGCCGUGAGUCCAAGAUCAAUGAGAAAUAGCAUAAAAAACUCGACAGAAUGGACAAAAUCUGCGAGUUGUAACGAGGUCCCUAUAAUGGGUCCCCGGAGUUCGUGGAACGUUUGUAGCGCCCGGGGACCCAGAACUAGUGAGUAAUGGCAUAGAAAACUGGCGAGAAUGGACCAAAUCUGUGAGAUUUGACGAGGUCCCCAUAACCGGUCCUCGAAUUUCCCCGAACAUUUGUAGCACCACGGGACCCUGAAUUAGUGAGUAAUCGCAUAGAAAAUUAGGCUAGAAUGGACCAAAUCUGCGAGUUUUGAUAAUGUCCCCAUAACUGGACCCCAAAUUCACCGAACGUUUGGAUCUCUCCACGACCCAAAUUAGUGAGUAAUAGAGUAGAAAACUGGCCACAAUGGACCAAAUUUGCGAGUUUUAGUGAGGUCCCCGUAUACCGUUCCCGAAGUUCCUAGAAUGUUUGCGGUGCCACCGGGGACCCAUAAUAAGUGAGUAAUAGCAUAGUAAACUGGCCAGAAUGGAUCGUACCUACGAGUUUUCACGAGGUCCCCAUAACCGGACCCCGAAGUUCCUCGAACGUUCGUGUCGCCCGGGACCACGAACGUCAAGUGAGUAAUAGCAUAGAAACUGCGAGAAUGGACCAAAUCUGCGAGUUUUGACGANNNNNNNNNNNNNNNNNNNNNNNNNNNNNNNNNNNNNNNNNNNNNNNNNNNNNNNNNNNNNNNNNNNNNNNNNNNNNNNNNNNNNNNNNNNNNNNNNNNNGUAGNGCNCCGACGACCAAGACCAGUGAGUAAUAGCAUAGAAAAAGGCCCAGAAUGGACCAAAUCUGYGAGUUUUGACAAGGUCCCCRUAACUGGUCCCCGAAGUUCGCGGAACAUUUGGAUCGCUCCGGGAACCAAAAUGAGUGAGUAAUCGCAUAGAAAACUGGCUAGAAUAGACCAAAUCUGCGAGUUUUGACAAUGUCCCAAUAACCGGACCGCAAAGUUCCCUGAACGUUCGGAUCUCCCCGGGACCCAAAAUCAAUGAGUAAUAGCAUAGAAAACUGGCCAAAAUAGACCAAAUUUGCGAGUUUUGACGAGGUCCCCGUAACCGGUGCCCGAAGUUCCCCGUAUGUUUGCGGCGCCACGGGACCCAUAAUUAGUGAGUAAUAGCAUAGAAUACUCGCAGAAAGGAUCGAAUCUACGAGUUUUCACGAGGUCCCCUUAACCGGACCCCAAAGUUCCCCGAACGUCGUGUCGCCCCGGGACACAAAUUCAGUGACUAAUAGCAUAGAAAACUGGCCAGAAUGGACCAAAUCUGCGAGUUUUGACGAGGUCCCCGGAGUHCGCMGACUGUUUGGAUCUCCCCGGGGAACAAAAUUUAGUGAGUNNNNNNNNNNNNNNNNNNNNNNNNNNNNNNNNNNNNNNNNNNNNNNNNNNNNNNNNNNNNNNNNNNNNNNNNNNNNNNNNNNNNNNNNNNNNNNNNNNNNGGACCCCAAAGUUCCCCGAACGUCGUGUCGCCCCGGGACACAAAUUCAGUGACUAAUAGCAUAGAAAACUGGCCAGAAUGGACCAAAUCUGCGAGUUUUGACGAGGUCCGUGUAACCGGUCCCCGGAGAUCGCGGAACGUCUGUAGCUCCCGGGGACCCAGAAUCAGUGAGUAAUAGCAAAGAAAACUGGCCAGAAUGAACACAAUCUACGAGUUUUGAUGAGGUCCCCGUAACCGGUCCCCCGAGUUCGCAGAACGUUCGGAUUGGCCCGAAAACCAAAAUCAGUGAGCAAUAGCAUAGAAAACUGGCGAGAAUGGACCAAAUCUGCGAGAUUUGACGAGGUCCCCGUAACCGGUCCCCGAAUUUCCCCGAACGUUUGUAGCACCACGGGACCCUAAAUCAGUGAGUAAUAGCGAAGAAAACUAGACAGAAUGGACCAAAUCUGCGAGUUUUGACAAUAUCCACAUAACCGGACCCCAAAGUUCYCCGAAUGUUCAGAUCUACCCUGAGACCCAAAAUCAGUGAGUAAUAGCAUGAUGAUGUGCCCCAUGAUAUUCAAGCACUUACCCAAGGUUCCGAACCUGCUCAUGAUCAAGAUCAAGUGACAACCACAAGAUCCAGACCAAGNNNNNNNNNNNNNNNNNNNNNNNNNNNNNNNNNNNNNNNNNNNNNNNNNNNNNNNNNNNNNNNNNNNNNNNNNNNNNNNNNNNNNNNNNNNNNNNNNNNNAAUUCGUUGCAUCUUGUAAAACAAGAGCAAUUGAGAAAGAAGUAUGGAUGACAUUUGUAUGUCGUCAUCCAUAGGGGUUGACGGAGGAAGGGAAAUUGCAGAAGCGAUGAUCACAAGUUCUCGAGUGAACAUCAGAGAUUAUCCUCGGAGUCUUCUGACAGAUCAAGUCAUCGUCUGGAAUUGCGGGGCUCUCCGGGUAGAUGUGAUUACGACGACCUAAUGUUAGAGUUAGUAAAACCUUUAACCCGAAAGAGAAGAGAGAGUAGAGCCCAGAGUAUAGAAAAGGAGUAAAAGAUACUAAUACCACCCAAUUGAGAUGUGGGCCCAUAAGACACAACAUCAGUGUUAGUAAAGUUUUUCAAACACUAGACUCAACUUCGGCCAAGGAGUUGGAAAAGGGGGCUACCUACAGGCAGUUGGCUCUGACACCAACUUGUGACGCCCUCGGUUUAACCGUACGCUAAUCAUACACGGAAAUGCAUACGAUCAAACCCAGGACUCACGGGAAGAUAUCACAACANNNNNNNNNNNNNNNNNNNNNNNNNNNNNNNNNNNNNNNNNNNNNNNNNNNNNNNNNNNNNNNNNNNNNNNNNNNNNNNNNNNNNNNNNNNNNNNNNNNNCAAGGUGCGGGAGACGUCACCGGGCUGCACGUGUGUUGAACGCGGAGGUGCCGUAGUUCGGCACUAGAUCGGAAUCACACCGCGAUCUGAAUCGCCGCGAGUACGACUCCAUCAAUCGCGUUCUAGCAAUGCUUCCGCUUAGCGAUCUUCAAAGGUAUGAAUAUGCACUCACCCCUCUCUCGUUGCUGGUCUCUCCAUAGGAAGAUCUGAAUAUGGUGUAGGAAAGUUUUGAACUUAUGCUACGUUACCCAACAGUGGUAUCGGAGCCAAGUUUUCUAUGCGUUAGAUUCUAUGCACGAGUAGAACACAAAAAGGUUAUGGGGCGAUGAUUUGUCAAUUGCUUGCCGCUACUAGUCUUAUUCUUUUCAGGCGGUAUUGUGGGAUGAAGCGCCCCGGACCGACAUUACACGUACGCUUACGUGAGACUGGUUCCACCGACAUACAUGCACACCGUGCAUAAAGGUGCUAGCGGGUGUCUGUCUCUCCUACUCCACGUCGGUANNNNNNNNNNNNNNNNNNNNNNNNNNNNNNNNNNNNNNNNNNNNNNNNNNNNNNNNNNNNNNNNNNNNNNNNNNNNNNNNNNNNNNNNNNNNNNNNNNNNUAUCACAUCACAUCUUUGGCCAUAUCACAUCACAAGCAUACCCUGCAAAAACAAGUUAGACGUCCUCUAAUUUUGUUGUUUGCAUGUUUUACGUGGUGACCAUGGGUAUCUAGUAGGAUCACAUCUUACUUACGCAAACACCACAACGGAGAUAUAUGAAUUGCUAUUUAACCUUAUACAAGGACCUCCUCGGUCAAAUCCGAUUCAACUAAAGUUGGAGAAACCGACACUUGUCAGUCAUCUUUGAGCAAAGGGGGUUACUCGUAGCGAUGAAACCAGUCUCUCGUAAGCGUAUGAGUAAUGUCGGUCCAAGCCGCUUCAAUCCAACAAUACCGCGGAAUCAAGAAAAGACUAAGAGGGCAGAAAAACGCACAUCACCGCCCACAAAAACCUUUUGUGUUCUACUCGAGAAGACAUCUACGCAUGAACCUAGCUCAUGAUGCCACUGUUGGGGAACGUCGCAUGGGAAACAAAAAUUUUCCUACGCGCACGAAGACCUAUCAUGGUGAUGUCCAUCUACGAGAGGGGAUGAGUGAUCUACGUACCCUUGUAGACCGUACAGCAGAAGCGUUAGAGAACGCGGUUGAUGUAGUGGAGCGUCCUCACGUCCCUCGAUUCGCCCCGCGAACAAUCCCGCGAUCAGUCGCACGAUCUAGUACCGAACGGACGGCACCUCCGCGUUCAGCACACGUACACCUCGACGAUGAUCUCGGCCUUCUUGAUCCAGCAAGNNNNNNNNNNNNNNNNNNNNNNNNNNNNNNNNNNNNNNNNNNNNNNNNNNNNNNNNNNNNNNNNNNNNNNNNNNNNNNNNNNNNNNNNNNNNNNNNNNNNCAAUAUAUCACAUCAUGUAUUUGGCCAUAUCACAUCACAUGCAUACCCUGCAAAAACAAGUUAGACAUCCUCUAAGUUGUUGUUGCAUGUUUUACGUGACUGCUAUGGGUAUCUAGUAUGAUCGCAUCUUACUUAUGCCAAGCCACAACGGUGAUAUGCAAAUUGCUAUUUAACCUUCUCCAAGGACCGCCUUGUUUAAAAUCCGAUUCAACUAAAGUUGAAGAAACGGACAACCGCCAGUCAUCUUUAUGCAACAAGUUGCAUGUUAGUCGAUGAAACCGGUCUCUCGUAAGCGUACGAGAUAGGUUGGUCCGGGCCGCUUCAAUCCAACAAUACCGCCGAAUCGAUAAAAUAAUAAGGAGGGAAGCAAAUCGAACAUCAACGACCACAAAAAAUUUGUUACUCUACUUGAGAUUUCAUCUACGCAUGAACCUAGCUCAUGAUGCCACUGUUGGGAACGUUGCAUGAGAAACAAAAAAAUUACCUACGACACACGAAGACCUNNNNNNNNNNNNNNNNNNNNNNNNNNNNNNNNNNNNNNNNNNNNNNNNNNNNNNNNNNNNNNNNNNNNNNNNNNNNNNNNNNNNNNNNNNNNNNNNNNNNAUGAUUCAUGAUCGAUCUUCGGUCUCAUGNGUUUCGAGGCCAUGUCUGCACAUGCUAGGCUCGUCAAGNUUAACCCGAGUGUUCCGCGUGCGCAACUGUUUUGCACCCGUUGUAUGUGAACGUUGAGUCUAUCACACCCGAUCAUCACGUGGUGUCUCGAAACGACGAACUGUAGCAACGGUGCACAGUCGGGGAGAACACAAUUUCGUCUUGAAAUUUUAGUGAGAGAUCACCUCAUAAUGCUACCGUCGUUCUAAGCAAAAUAAGGUGCAUAAAAGGAUUAACAUCACAUGCAAUUCAUAAGUGACAUGAUACGGCCAUCAUCACGUGCUUCUUGAUCUCCAUCACCAAAGACCGGCACGGAUCUUCUUGUCACCGGCGCCACACCAUGAUCAUCCAUCAACGUGUUGCCAUCGGGGUUGUCGUGCUACUAUGUAUUACACUAAAGCUAAUCUGCAAAAUAGAAACGCAUCUGCAAGCACAAAGUUAGUAUAAAGACAACCCUAUGGCUCCUCCGGUUGCCGUACCAUCGACAUUUAGUGAAAUAUGUGGGGAGGACAUUUUGUAAAGCAAUCAUAUUGUCAAAGUGACAAAAUGCAGGCUUUAAUAGUAGUGGUGAUGAUCUGCAAAGCGGUAGAUCUACACACUACCUUGUGAUUCUCAAAAUAUCAAUUUGAAAAACAACACUAAGAAUUUGGAUAUCAAUUCUUNNNNNNNNNNNNNNNNNNNNNNNNNNNNNNNNNNNNNNNNNNNNNNNNNNNNNNNNNNNNNNNNNNNNNNNNNNNNNNNNNNNNNNNNNNNNNNNNNNNNUCUGGCCCAUUUUCUAUGCUAUUACUCACUGGUUUUGGGUCCUAGUGCGCUACAAACGUUCCACGAACUCCGGGGACCGGUUAUGGGGACCUCGUCGCAACUCGCAGAUUUUGUCCAUUUUGUCCAAUUUACUAUGCUAUUACUCACUGAUCUUGGACCCAAGGCGAUACGAAUGUUCGAGGAACUUCACGGUCUGGUUACUGGGACCUCGUGAAAACUCGCAGAUUUGGUCCAUUCUUACCAGUUUUCUAUGCUAUUACUCACUGAUUCAGGGUCCCCUGGUAAGACAAACGUUCAUGGAAAUUCGGGGACCGGCUACGGGGACCUCGCAAAUCUCGCAUAUUUGGUCCAUUCUAGCCAAUUUUCUAUGCUAUUACUCACUGGUUCUGGUUCCUGGGGUGCUACAAACGUUCCGCGAACUCCGGGGACCGGUUACGGGGACCUCGUCAAAACUCGCAGAUUUGGUCCAUUCUCGCAAGUUUUCUAUGCUAUUACUCACUGAUUUCUGGUCCCGGGCGACACGAACGUUCGAGGAACUUCGGGGUCCGGUUAUGGGGACCUCGUGAAAACUCGUAGGUACGAUCCAUUCUGGCCAGUUUACUAUGCUAUUACUCACUUAUUAUGGGUCCCGUGGCANNNNNNNNNNGAACGUUCAUGGAAAUUCGGGGACCAGCUACGGGGACCUCACAAAUCUCGCAUAUUUGGUCCAUUCUGGCCAAUUUUCUAUGCUACUGCUCACUGGUUCUGGUUCCGAGGGUGCUACAAACGUUCCGCGAACUCCGGGGACCUCGUCAAAACUCGCAGAUUUGGUUCAUUCUCGCGAGUUUUCUAUGCUAUUACUCACUGAUUUCUGGUCCCGGGCGACACGAACGUUCGGGGAACUUCGGGGUCCGAUUAUGGGGACCUCGUGAAAACUCGCAGGUUCGAUCCAUUCUCGCUAGUUUACUAUGCUAUUACUCACUAACUAUGGGUCCCGUGGCACCGCAAACAUUCUAGGAACUUCGGGGAACGGAUACGGGGACCUCACUAAAACUCGCAAAUUUGGUCCAUUGUGGCCAGUUUUCUACUCUAUUACUCACUAAUUUUGGGUCGUGGAGAGAUCCAAACGUUCGGUGAAUUUGGGGUCCAGUUAUGGGGACAUUAUCAAAACUCACAGAUUUGGUCCAUUCUUGCCAANNNNNNNNNNGCUAUUACUCACUAAUUUUGGGUCAUGGGGAGAUCCGAACGUUCGGUGAAUUUGGGGCCCGGUUAUGGGGACAUUAUCAAAACUCGCAGAUUUGGUCCAUUCUAGCCAAUUUUCUAUGCGAUUACUCACUAAUUCAGGGUCCCGUGGUGCUACAAAUGUUCGGGGAAAUUCGAGGACCGGUUAUGGGGACCUCGUCAAAUCUCACACAUUUGGUCCAUUCUCGCCAGUUUUCUAUGCCAUUACUCACUAGUUCUGGGUCCCCGGGCGCUACAAACGUUCCACGAACUCCGGGGACCCAUUAUAGGGACCUCGUUACAACUCGCAGAUUUUGUCCAUUCUGUCGAGUUUUUUAUGCUAUUUCUCAUUGAUCUUGGCCUCAGGGCAAUACAGAUGUUCGGGGAACUUCAAUGUGUGGUUAUGGGGACCUCAUGAAAACUCGCAGAUUUGGUCCAUUCUGGAAAGUUUUCNNNNNNNNNNGAUGUUCGGGGAAAUUCGAGGACCGGUUACGGGGACCUCGUCAAAUCUCACAGAUUUGGUCCAUUCUNNNNNNNNNNACUCACGGCAAUAAAGAUGUUCGGGGAACUUCAAUGUGUGGUUACGGGGACCUCAUGAAAACUCGCAGAUUUGGUCCAUUCUGGAAAGUUUUCUAUGCUAUUACUCACUGAUUUUGGUUCCCGGGGCGAUCCGAACGUUUCGCGAACUCCAGGGAUCGGUUACGUGGACCUCGCCAAAACUCGCACAUUUGGUCCAUUCUGGCUAGUUUUCUAUGCUAUUACUCACUAAAUUUUGUUCCCGGGGAGAUCCAAACAGUCUGCGAACUCCGGGGACCUCGUCAAAACUCGCAGUAUUGGUCCAUUCUGGCUAGUUUUCUAUGCUAUUACUCACUGAUUCAGGGUCCCGUGGUGCUACAAACAUUCGGGGAAAUUCGGGGACCGGUUAUGGAGACCUCGUCAAAUCUCGCAGAUUUGGUCCAUUCUCGCCAGUUUUCUAUGCUAUUACUCACUGAUUCUCGUUCCCGGGGCGCUACAAAUGUUCCGUGAACUCCGGGGACCGGUUACGNNNNNNNNNNUGGGGACCUCGUCAAAUCUCGCAGAUUUGGUCCAUUCUCGCCAGCUUUCUAUGCUAUUACUCAGUGGUUCUGGUUCCCGGGGCGCUACAAAUGUUCCGUGAACUCCGGGGACCGGUUACGCGGACUUUGCCAAAACUCAUAGAUUUUGUCCAUUAUGGCCAGUUUUCUAUGCUUUUACUCACUAAUUGUGGGUCCCCGGGCGCUACAAACAUUCCGCGAACUCCGGGGACCGGUUACGGGGACCUCGUCAAAACACACACAUUUGGUCCAUUCUGGCCAGUUUUCUAUGCUUUUACUCACUGAUUUUGGGUCUCGGGGAGAUCUGAACGUUCGGGGAUCUUUGGGGUCCGGUUAUGUGGAUAUUGUCAAAACUCACAGAUUUGGUCCAUUCUGUCUAGUUUUCUUCGCUAUUACUCACUGAUUCAGGGUCCCGUGGUGCUANNNNNNNNNNNNNNNNNNNNNNNNNNNNNNNNNNNNNNNNNNNNNNNNNNNNNNNNNNNNNNNNNNNNNNNNNNNNNNNNNNNNNNNNNNNNNNNNNNNNCGAGUUGCGACGAGGUCCCCAUAACCGGUCCCCGGAGUUCAUGGAACGUUUGUAGUGCACUAGGACCCAAAACCAGUGAGUAAUAGCAUAGAAAAUGGGCCAGAAUAGACCAAAUCUGUGAGUUUUGACAAGGUCCCCAUAACUGGUCCCCGAAGUUCGGAUUGGCCCAGAAACCAAAAUCAGUGAGCAAUAGCAUAGAAAACUAGUGAGAAUGGACCAAAUCUGCGAGAUUUGACGAGGUCCCCGUAACCGGUCCCCGAAUUUCCCCGAAAUUUUAUAGCACCACGGGACCCUGAAUCAGUGAGUAAUAGCGAAGAAAACUAGANNNNNNNNNNGAACCAGUGAGUAAUAGCACAGAAAAUGGGCCAGAAUGGACCAAAUCUGCGAGUUUUGACAAGGUCCCCGUAACUGGUCCCCGAAGUUCGCGGAACAUUUGGAUCGCUCCGGGAACCAAAAUGAGUGAGUAAUCGCAUAGAAAACUGGCUAGAAUAGACCAAAUCUGCGAGUUUUGACAAUGUCCCAAUAACCGGACCCCAAAGUUCCCUGAACGUUCGGAUCUCCCCGGGACCCAAAAUCAAUGAGUAAUAGCAUAGAAAACUGGCCAAAAUAGACCAAAUUUGCGAGUUUUGACGAGGUCCCCGNNNNNNNNNNCUUCCCCAAACGUUCGGAUCUCCCCGGGACCCAAAAUCAAUGAGUAAUAGCAUACAAAACUGGCCAAAAUAGACCAAAUUUGCGAGUUUUGACGAGGUCCCCGUAACCGGUGCCCGAAGUUCCCCGUAUGUUUGCGGCGCCACGGGACCCAUAAUUAGUGAGUAAUAGCAUAGAAUACUCGCAGAAAGGAUCGAAUCUACGAGUUUUCACGAGGUCCCCUUAACCGGACCCCAAAGUUCCCCGAACGUCGUGUCGCCCCGGGACACAAAUUCAGUGACUAAUAGCAUAGAAAACUGGCCAGAAUGGACCAAAUCUGCGAGUUUUGACGAGGUCCGUGUAACCGGUCCCCGGAGAUCGCGGAACGUCUGUAGCUCCCGGGUACCCAGAAUCAGUGAGUAAUAGCAAAGAAAACUGGCCAGAAUGAACACAAUCUACGAGUUUUGAUGAGGUCCCCGUAACCGGUCCCCCGAGUUCGCAGAACGUUCGGAUUGGCCCGAAAACCAAAAUCAGUGAGCAAUAGCAUAGAAAACUGGCGAGAAUGGACCAAAUCUGCGAGAUUUGAUGAGGUCCCCGUAACCGGUCCCCGAAUUUCCUCGAACGUUUGUAGCACCACGGGACCCUGAAUCAGUGAGUAAUAGCGAAGAAAACUAGACAGAAUGGACCAAAACUGCGAGUUUUGACAAUAUCCCCAUAACCGGACCCCAAAGUUCCCCGAACGUUCGUAUCGCCCGGGUCCAAGAUCAAUGAGUAAUAGCAAAGAAAACUGGACAGAAUGGGCAAAAUGUGCGAGUUGUGACGAGGUCCCAAUAACCGGUCCCGGGAAUUCGUGGAACGUUUGUAGCGCCCCGGGACCCAAAAUCAGUGAGUAAUCGCAUAGGAAACUAGCUAGAUGGACCAAAUCUGCGAGUUUUGACAAUGUCCCCAUAAUCGGACCCCAAAGUUCCCCGAACGUUCGGAUCUCCCCGGGACCCAAAAUGAGUGAGUAGUAGCAUAUAAAACUGGCCAGAAUGGACCAAAUUUGCGAGUUUUGACGAGGUCCCCGNNNNNNNNNNACUGGUCCCCGAAGUUCCCCGAAUGUUUGCGGCGUCACGGGACCAUAGUUAGUGUGUAAUAGCACAGAAAACUCGCCAGAAUGGAUCGAAUCUACGAGUUUUCUCGAGGUCCCCCUAACCGACCCCGAAGUUCCCCGAACGUUCGUGUCGCCCCGUGACCCAAAAUUAGUAAGUAAUAGCAUAGAAAACUAGCCAGAAUGUACCAAAUCUGCGUGAUUUGACAAGGUCCUCGUAACCGGUCCCCGGAGUUCGCAGAAUGUUUGUAGCGCCCGGGGACCCAGAAUCAGUGAGUAAUAGCAUAGAAAACUGGACAUAAUGGACAAAAUCUAUGAGUUUUGGUGAAGUCCACGUAACCGGUCCCCGGAGUUUGCGGAACAUUUGUAGCGCCCUGGGAACUAGAACCAGUGAGUAAUAGCAUAGAAAAUUGGCCAGAAUGGACCAAAUCUGCGUGUUUUGAUGAAGUCCUCGUAACCGGUCCCCGAAUUUCCCCGAACGUUUGUAGCACCACGGGACCCUGAAUCAGUGAGUAAUAGCAUAGAAACUAGGCCAGAAUGGACCAAAUCUGUGAGUUUUGACGAGGUCCCCGUAGCCGGUCCCCGACUUUCCCGGACGUUUGUAGCACCAGGGGACCCUGAAUUAGUGAGUAAUAGCAUAGAAAACUCGCCCGAACGGACCAAAUCUGCGAGUUUUGACGAGGUCCCCAUAACCGGUCCCCGGAGUUCGCGGAAUGUUCGGAUCGCCCAGGAACCAAAAUCAGUGAGUAAUAGUAGAGAAAACUGGUCAGAAUGGAGCAGAUCUACGAGUUUUCACGAGGUCUCCGGAGUUCCCCGAAUAUUCGUAUCGCCCCGGGUGCACAAACAAUGAGUAAUAGCAUAGAAAACUGGCCAGAAUGGCAUAAAUUUGCGAUUUUGACGAGUUCCCCGUAACCGGUCCCCGGAGUUCGUGGAACGUUUGUAGCAGCCGGGGACCCAGAAUCAGUGAGUUUGCAUAGUAAACUUGCGAUAAUGGACAAAAUAUGCGAGUUUUGACAAUGUCCCCAUAACCGGACCCCAAAGUUCCGCGAACAUUCGGAUCUUCCCGGGACCCAAAAUUAGUGAGUAAUAGCAUAUAAAACUGACGAGAAUGGACCAAAUUUGCGAGUUUUGACAAGGUCCCCGUAACCGGUCCCCGAAGUUCCCCGAAUGUUUGUGGCACCACGAGACCAAUAAUUAGUGAGUAGUAGCAUAGAAAACUGGCCAGAAUGCAUCAAAUAUACGGGUCUUCAUGAGGUCCCCAUAACGGGACUCCGAAGUUCCCCGAGCUUUCGUGUUGCCCCAGACCCAAAAUCAGUGAGUAAUAGCAUAGAAAACAGGUCAGAAUGGACCAAAUGUGUGAGUUUUUUACGAGGUCCCCGUAACCGGUCCCCUGAGUUCGUGGAAUGUUUGUAGCGCCCGGGAACCCAGAAUCAGUGAGUAAUAGCAUGGAAAAGUGGCCAGGAUGGACAAUUUGUACAAGUUUUGACGAGGUCCCCGUAACCGGUCCCCGAAGUAUGCGAAACGUUCGGAUCGCUCCGGGAACCAAAGUCAAUGACUAAUCGCAUAGAAAAUUAGCUAGAAUGGACUAAAUCUGCGAGUUUUGACCAUGUCCCCAUAACCGGACCCCAAAGUUCCCCGAACGUUUGUAUUCCCCGGGACUCAAAAUCGGUGAGUAAUAGCAUACAAAACUGUCCAGAAUGGACCGAAUUUGCGAGUUUUGACGAGGUCCCCGUAACCGGUCCCCGAAGGUCCCCGGAUGUUUGUGGCGCCACGGGACCCAUAAUUAGUGAGUAAUAGCAUAGAAAAGUGGCCAUCGUGGAUCAAAUCUACGAGUUUCAAGAGGUCCCCAUAACCAGACCCCGAAGAUCCCCGAAUAUUCGUGUCGCCCCGGGACCCAAAAUCAGUGAGUAAUAGCAUAGAAAACUAACCAGAAUGGACCAAAUCUGCGAGUUUUGAUGAGGUCUCCGUAACUGGUCUCCUGAGCUCGUGGAACGUUUGUACUUUGUAGCGCCUCGGGACCCGGAAUGAGUGAGUAAUAGGAUGAAAAACUGGCCAGAAUGGACAAAAUCUAUGAGUUUUGACGAAGUCUGCGUAACCGGUCCCCGGAGUUCGCGGAACGUUCGAAUCGGCCCGGGAACCAAAAUCAGUGAUAUUUGACGAGGUUCCCGUAACCGGUCCCUGCAUUUUCCCGAACGUUUGUACCGCCACGGGACCCUGAAUCAGUGAGUAAUAGCAUAGAAACUGGCCAGAAUGGACCAAAUCUGCGAGUUUUGACGAGGUCCCCGUAAACGGUCCCCGGAGUUUGCGGAAUGUUUGGAUCUCCCCGGGAACCAAAAUCAGUGAGUAAUAGCAUACAAAAUUGGUCAGAAUGGACCAAAUGUGCGAGUUUCGACGAGGUCCCCGUAACCGGCCUCAGAGUUCGUGGAACGUUCGGAUCGCCCCGAGAACCAAAAUCAGUGAGUAAUAGCAUAGAAAACUAGCCAAAAUGGACCAAAUCUGCGACUUUUCACGAGGUCCCCGUAACCGGUCCUCAAAUUUCCCCGAACAUUUGUAGCACCACGGGACCCUGGAUCAGUGAGUAAUAGCAUAGAAAACUAGCCAGAAUGGACAAAAUCUGCGAGUUGUGACGAGGUCCCCGUAACGUGUCCCCGGAGCUCGUGGAACGUUUUUAGCGCCCCUGGACCUAGAACCAGUGAGUAAUAGCAUAGAAAAUUGGUCGGAAUGGACCAAAUCUGCGAGUUUUGAGAUUCGACAUGAUUCACGAAAUUCCAACAAGAUCUAUUCUUCACAUGAUUCGACACAUGAAACAUAACAUCUCAUAUAGAUCCACAUUAAAAACAGAGUCUUCAUGGGCAGUACCAAAACAGGACAUCUUAAGCACUUAUUUGAACUCCAGACUUUUUGUGUGUUCAAAAUGAACCAUUCAAGGCCACAUCAUCAAUUUUCAACAUUUUCUGACUUCAUUUGGUAUUUUUCAUGCUUUAACUGAUUUUUUGGAGCUAAAUGACCCAGAAAUUGAAAAGCACUACAAAUGAACUCUUAAUAGGUUGAAAGUUGGCAUGGUAUCAUCAUUUCACCCACAUAGCAUGUGCUAAAAAGUUGAGAGGGUUGCCGCAAAAACUGGAUGCACUUCGUGUACAAAUCGGACAAUCUCUUUCGAAGUAUGAGGGUUUCAUAGGGAAAACUCAUCUGUUACAAAAGGCAUUUCAUUUUUUCAAACUUAUUUCAUUUUUUCCACAUGGGUGUGUGUAUUAAAAACCAUUACAACAUAUCAUGAAUAUAGAAGUGACCAAAUUUAUAGAAAUUCAUCAUUACAUUAAAGCCAAAGUACAGUAGUGACCAAAAUAAAUACAUAGCGUUUUUACAUAGUUCUCAUUGUUGAACAACAUAUAGCUCUCUAGAGCAUCUAAUUAGAACAUACACUGAAACUAUUAGUUUUAAAUGUAACAACAAAUGCGAUCAUAACCGCAACUAAGGUACAAAUUGAUCCAACGGCAUAAUGAUACCAAGCCUCAGUAUGAAUGGCAUAUUUUCUAAUGUUUCUAAUCUUCAAGCGCAUUGCAUUCAUCUUGAUCUUGUGAUCGUCAUGCACAUCGGCAACAUCCAACUCCAAUAUCAUCUUCUCUUCUUCAACUCUUUGUAAUUUUUCUUUCAAGUAAUUGUUUUCUUUUUGAACCAAAUUUAACUUCUCGACAAGAAUUUGUAUGUCGGUUCGAAUUUCCGGUUCAUAUACCUCCUAGAUUAAAAACAAAUAUGUCACGUUGGUCGGCAUAAUUAUCAUAAACAAUAAAUAAAACAAAUAGUUAUAAAAUAUAAUAUAUACCACAUCCGAAUCAUAGACAGGACGAGGAUCGACGGAGGCGGAUACCAAAACCAUCAUACUAUCUAAUAACAAACAAUAAUAGAAGUAAGAAAAUUACACAAGUAUCUAUCUAAAUCAUACAAGUAAGAACUUUUUUAUUUUAAAAAGAAGAUAAGAAGAAGAUACUAACCACAGUGAUGCCGAUGCCGAGAUGGGCGCGGGCGAUCGACGGUGGUGUGGACGGGGACGGGACACGGACGGACCGCCAAAGCUACACAAAACUAGAGGAAAAUGGAGCUUGGACAAGGAGCUUCGAGAGGAGAAAGCUUAAGUGUGGCUUUAGAAUUUCAUCGAACACCUCAUGUGCAUAGGAGGUGAGCUAGAGCACCACAAAGCUCUCCCACGACCGGUCAAAAAAACAGAGCAGUGCACUGCUCUGCUCGCGGUCGGGUGGUAUAUAUAGGCCAAGAAUUGGUCCCGGUUUGUGGACCGAACCGGGAGUGAAGGACAACAAUUGGUCCCGGUUCCAGCCAAAAACCGGGACCAAAGGGGGCAGACGAACCGGGACCAAUGGCCCACGAGGCUCGGUCGGCGCCCUCGCCUCACGAAACGGGACCUAUGCCCCCAUGGGUCCCGGUUCGUAAGUGAACCGGGACUAAUGGAAUUUCAUCAAGUGGACCAAAGCCCUCUUUUCUACUAGUGUAAAGUAUCCAUUCCAAGUUGUCUACGUACCACAUAAUGUUUCCAAGUAGUCCAUAUGCGAGGACGCGGCUAUUCAAAUAGGUUAAUUUAGCCAGCAGGGGUAUACUUCUUCACACACGCUCUCUCCACUUAUCACCAUAUGCACGUCACGCAUCUCGGCAACCUUCAAGCGGAAGCACCGGCGUGGGUGUCGGCCACGACCGUUAACCACACAAGAGCCUAGUCCACGUUUAUCGCCUAUUUGAGACUGGACCCGCAAGGAAGUCCGACCAAAGUUUCCUCAAAUGCCUCAAACGAUGUGCACAGGGUUCCACAAGCCCACCAUCCGGGUGCCACUUGGUACACCAUGCCACUGUGUAUCUACCGCACUGAAGCCUACUCCGUCAAGCAGAGCUAAACACAGUCGCCAACACUUUUCCUACAAACACCAGAAACUAGUUGCAACUCCUGGACAGAGAUCUAGGUGAUUAAUAAGCCGAGAGGGGUUGAGUUAUCGGAGCCAAGUGUGUGGUAGUACCUUGUCUUGGAUAACAUACACAGAACUCAGUUCUUAAGGACGGUCCCAAUGAGACAACUCGCCAUGUACUCCUACAUGGCCUCUCAUCGCUACCUUUACCAAAUCGGAUUCACACAUUUUACUCUCACACAGUAGGGCAUGAACACAAACAUUAUGAUUCAUCAUCCAGAUGGACCAGAACCGACACAACUCUAAGCAUAGUAAGCAAGGAUGGAUGAGUAGGCACAUCAAGGCUCAAGAAGUUGCUACUCAUGCUAAGUGGUUUCAACUAUUUAUUGUGGCAAAAACAUGUCAUGCAAAGGAAUGGUUAAACUACCGAGACAUGUAAGAGAUGAAUCGUUGUUAUCCUAAUGAAGUAAAAGAGAGCAGGAGCGAGAGAGAGUGUUAAUAUCAGUAUGAUCAAGGGGGUUUGCUUGCCUGACAGUUCUGGGGAUACUACUUCUCUUCAUUAGUGUCAACAGUCGCAUCGUCGGAACCAUCGUCUACCGAGAAAGGCAAACAGAAAAAGAACAACAUUUACUUCACGAAAAUGCAACACUAUGAUGCAUGAUCAUGACAUGGCAAUAUGCUGGUGAUUGAGCUAAUGCAUCUAGCAACAAUAUUAAACGAAGGUGGUUUGAACCAAGGUUCAAAGUCAAACUUCAUAUGUGGUUAUUUAAAUGACAUUUAAUUCAAUUGUCCAAAACAGGGGACAUAAAUUGUUCUAACAUGCAUGAAAAUGCCAUAAAAAUAUUCCUUGCAAUUUUCUGAUAAAUUUCAUUUAUAAUUUAUUUUCUAUGAUUUUUUAAAGUUCUUAGCAUUUUCAGGAUUUUCCUAAACAUUUAAAUACCAGAAAAGCUUUACUGCGUCAGCAUUGCAUCACGGUGAUGUCAUCUGGUAAACUGACUCGGUCCUGGUCAAAACUAGCAUUGGGAGCCGCACGUGAGUGACACUGUGGCUAAAAGGGAUUAAUUAAACCUAACUAAAUAUUAUUAAUGGCCCGCACCCACUGGCAGUUACAUAUGGAUUAAAUUAGGGGUGAUUAGACCUUAAUCUACUCUUUGACAAACCGGGCCCACAUGGCAGCGGCUCAGGCGAGCGAGGUCGACGUCGGCGACCAACAGGGCGACGAAGGCACGCCGGAAUCACAGCCUCGGUGUCCAUUCGACGUGUGGACGGGCGAAAUGGGAUCAAGGGGGCUGCAGUGCUUCUGUUGGUGCGAGGUGGGUGGCCAGAGGGGCACCUGACGUACGCUUGCGACGAGCCUAUGCGGCGGCAGAAUUCGGCCGUGGUGGAAAUCACGGCUAGAGCUCGAGCGGGGCAACGGGGUUAGGGGAGGAGCAAGGGGAUAUCACAGAGAGGAGGAUGAGCUGGUCAGAGGGCUCGAGGACGACCGGGACGGAGCGAAUCGACGCCGGGGAGGUUCGGUGGCCGGAGGUUGAAGACGAAUCGGGGAUGGCCUCCUGCAGCGUCGGGCUUCGUGUGUCUUGCUGGAGAGCUUGAGGGGGACGAUACUGAGCUAGUGGGAAGCACAGGGGCGCGAGGGAGCGGCUGAGGGCACGAUACUACGACUGCCGCUCCCGCGAGGUUCGGCCAUGGAGGGGCGAGGGCGCUAGAGAACGGGAAGACUACAGGGAGAGAGGGGAAAGGCAGAGGAGGAGGAGAGCUUCUCCAUGGCGCUUUGGAAGGGCACGGGGAUGCUCUCGAAGCGACCAGCACGAGGUGGUUGCGCCUCCUCUGCGUGCCCCACGCCCUCGUGCCUACUCGCACGAGGUUGAAGAAGGCGGCAUGGGCCUCGUGGGCUGGGAUUUCCACUUGGGCCGGCUACAGGUAAGCUCAGGUAGGCUUUCUACCUUUUUUUAUUUCUGCUUGUUUUCUUUGCUUUAUUUAUUUUGCCUCUGAUUCAAAUUUAAAAUAAUUUUAAAACAUGGCAAAACCCUCUGAAUAUUUUUAUGUAGCUUUAAUGGAUAUUUCCAAAGGCUCAUAAAAUAUUUCAUAGUAUUUUGAAUUUAUAUUCUACCUAUAAGAAUAUAGAUCCAACUCAAAUACAAUAUAAUUUAAUUCAAAUGCCCAAAAUAUUUCCUUCAAAUUGUUCCUAAAUUUUGGUUUGAAUUCUAGUCCUUCCCAAAAUUCUCAAAGCAAAUAAAGGAAAAUUUUGGAACCAAUGAAUAUGAUUUCUAGGGUGCUUUGCCCUUCCUUUAUUUUGAAAUUUUGAGGCUUAUAAAAAUUCUCAAUUCAGGUUUCAUGAAAAUUUUAUCAUGAUGCAAUCAAUGUUGAUGCGACUAUUUUACAAGCAAAUAUAGGGAUGUGACAUCUCACCCCCACUAAACAAGAAUCUCGUCCCGAGAUUCACGCGUAGGGUAAGAGGGAAAAGGGACACUAAACUAUCACAAUCUUCAUGAUCCAAUUGCUCUUCUUGAAGAUGUUGAUUCAUUGCAUCAAGUUGAUAUUGAUAUCUUUGCCUUGAGGCCUUCAUCCAACACGAUGACAAAAAGAAAAUGAAAACUCUACAAGAUUCGAUCUCCUUGAAGAUCGAGCAACUCCUAAUCAACUCAUCGAAUGAGACGUAUAAACAUCUCUUGAGCUGAGACACAAAACACAUAAUAGGAAUGAGGAAAUGAGGCAUAUGAUAGAGGUUCAAUUGGUAGGCAACAAUUACACUCUUAAAAUAGAUGGUGACGAGGUUUCAAAGUAGUGAGGAGUUAAAUUGCCCUUCAUACCAUAACGGGGCACCUUAGAAAGGUGACUCGUAGAGUUAUUUCCUUAAGUGGCAAAAAGAAUUACUUUUGAUCCAGAGAUCAUUAAAACUCUUCAUACCAGGGUGAGGCAAUUCACAAAUGGUCGUUUGAAGGGGUUCAGAGAAAUGGCAUACUCGGCUUGGAAAAGAAAACUAGAGUUAUAGAACAACUUGGCAAACGGAAGACACAUUCCAAUUGUUACCGAGAAUAUAACCCAGUGUCUGAGCGUUGUUUCAUUAGAAUUCACUCGGUCUAUUAUGGAAUAAGAGAGUUGUUUCAUCUUUGUUCUAUAGAAACAUAAAAAUGAAUAGGAAGUAAAAUGAUUCAACUUUUCUUUAUGUUUUCGUAAAUAUAUUUAUUUCUAUUAUUAAAGGGGAUCUGCCGUCGUGAUGGUUCGACCUCCCCUCCCACCCUCCAUGGCAGGCGCUAGAAAAAUCAUCCGAUCCCGCACGCACAGAGAAACCCCAAAAAAACAUCCCACGCUCCCACACAUUGUCGCUAAAAAAGAAGAGAAUAAACUGCCACCCCGCCUCUCCCAGAUCCACCGAUCCUCGUUGCCCGCACAGACACCGCUAAACUGCCAUCACCUCUUCCCGAUCCAUUGCUCCCAAUCUCGUCUCUCUCCUGCCAAAUAUUGUCGUCACCAGAUAGAGGAAAGAGCGCAACGGAGGCACCGAGGAUGAGGGGGCGUCUCUCGCUCGUUUCUGCUCACGAGGAUCAUGCCAACCGUCACCCCCACCGAUGUCGCCGCCGUGGCGGACGAGGCGAGCCCCAAGCUGCGGGACACCGCGGCGGACGCACGCUGGCACAACUCAAAAAAGCAAGUACAUGACAAUUAGGUAAAAUUGUAAAUUGUUGUGCAUGUAUGACAGUGUCAUUGUCAAAUAAGGCCGGUGGGAGGAUUUGUAAAUCGAUUUCAUAGUCUUGUUAUAGGUUGGAAUUAGGUUAUGUAAACAUUUUGCACAACAGCUUCUGUCCAGAAGAAGUUUUUUCUGUGCUGGCUUGUUGUCCCAUUUUUAUUCUAGGCAACAUUAGCACAAGUAGCUUAUUUUCGUAUGUGGUUUUAAAUUUUCUUUCAUUGUUCCCAAUUCUCCUUUCGCUAGGAUGGAAGUUCAUGUAAUCUUCAGUAUAGCAAUAUUAUGAAUGGGAGUUCCCGGUGUGCAAUGGCAGUGAUGUCACCCGUUCUCGUUUGAAAAGUAGAUAUUGUAAUAAUAUAGAACCAAGUAUCAUAUUAUAGUUAUUUGUGGCUAUUUUUUCCAAUGUUCAAAAGUAUCUUUGAGGAAGAAUAUUCAUUUGGAUUUAGAUCCAUACAAAGAAGGGGGUGGGAAGAAAGGGAGGAGGUUAUGGUGCCUUAACUUCUUGUUUUAUAGGGCCAAAGAGAUAUAAUGUUUAAAAUAAUAGCUUGGGUGCCAAUAAAUCAACGAUAAAUACAUAUUCUAUGUUCUAGAAUAAAAUGAUUAUUAUUUACUUGUUUAGUAUGUAUCAAUGUGCCCUCUAUGAUAGUAGCGGUGGAUGUGAAAAAAGUUCGACAAUAUCAGUUGAUGUGUAUAAUGAUUCAGAAAAACAUAUAGAUGUUAAACCACUAUAAUAUUUAUGCCCGGUAGCAACACACUGGCAACUAACUAGUUUAGGUAAUAACUAAAUGGACCAUCGUUGGGUGUUGCCUCCUUCUGGAUGUACGAAUCUAAAUGCCUCUAAAUGUUGAUGGAAGCUAUGUUCCUGCUGACGGAUCAGUGGGAGGAGGUAUGGUGCUAAGUUCUGACCGAGGUGAAAUUAUUUUCACAACGAGAUUCACACAUGCGACAAUAGCCUCCAUGCUGAGUCUGUUGCUUGCAAGGAGGGACUUGAGCUCGCGCUGCACCGCACUAUGCUGCCCAUUGCGGUUGAGAUGGACAACGCUGAAGCCGCCGGGAUGGAAUGCCACUUCGGUGGACUUGUUGAGGAGAUCAAGAGGAUGGUCGCUCCCGGCCCUAGGGAGAUUUCUAUUAUCGCUAUUAGUCGCUCGUAAAAUAAAGUUAAUCAUGAGCUUGCUGCAUAUGAUCAAAGUACUCCUCGUACUGCAGUUUGAUUGCGCUCGGGUUUGAGCAACAUUAUUGUAAUGGCACUAGCUGAUUUGCCUCCUUAAAUUAAAUUAAUAGAAGGGAGUGCCUAGAACUCAUGUAGAUGAGUUAUAGUUUGGUCUCAUUCACCUGACAUCAUUUGACAUCAUCUUUGUUGUUAUAGCUUCGUUUUUAUUGAAUGAGCCAUGUCUAAAAUUGCUCUUUCUUUCCUUGGCCUGGCCCAUUUUAGUUGUGUCCCUAUUAGUUGUUGUAAAAAUAACAUAACAAAAAGACACGCAUACUCUUCUACAAAGCGCAUCCACAUAUAUGCACCGGUCAAAUGCCCAUCACACGUACGUACACACAUACAUCAGGGCAAUAUACAUGCAUGCACAUGCACGCUCACGCGACUGGCCGGCCAGUGCACAGUUGCACAAUGGGCACAUGCAAACAGGAUACAUAUCAUGUAUAUUUGUCACUACUGUGGGUACAUGCAAAGAUAAUUGCAUCAAUCACUUUGUUAAUAUUUUAUCAGUCACAUCAGAUUUAAAAAAUUGCGGUUGCGACGUGACCAUGAAAAAGUGCAGUUGCGAUCAGAUUCUACAAACAUGCGGUUGCGACCCGACCAUGAAAAUAUGCAAUUGUGAUGACAUUUAAAAAUUUGCAGUUGCGACCCGAGAUUGGAAACAUGCAAUUACGACCCUACCAUGAAAACUUGCAGUUGCGACGGUAUUUGAAAACUCGCACACGUGACCCGGCAUUGAAAACAUGCAGUUGCGGUGACAUUUAAAAACUGGCAAUUGUGACAUGACCAUGCAAAAAUGCAGUUGCGACCAGAUGCUACAAACAUGCGGUUGCAAUCUGACCAUGAAAACAUGCAGUUGCGACGACAUUUAAAAAUUUGCAGUUGCGACCCGACGUUGAAAACAUGCAGUUGCGGUGACAUUUGAAAACUGGCAAUUGUGACAUGACCAUGCAAAAAUGCAGUUGCGACCAAAUCCUGCAAACAUGCGGUUGCGACCCGACCAUGAAAACAUGCAGUUGCAACGACAUUUAAAAAUUUGCAGUUGCGACCCGGCGUUGAAAACAUGUAGUUGCGAUGACAUUUGAAAACUGUGACGUGACCAUGCAAAAAUGCAGUUGCGACCAGAUCCUGCAAACAUGCAGUUGCGACCCGACCAUGAAAAGAUGCAGUUGCAACGACAUUUAAAAAUUUGCAGUUGCGACCCGACAUUGGAAAGAUGCAAUUACGACCCUAUCAUGAAAACUUGUAGUUGCGACGACGUUCGAAAACUUGCAGUUGUGAUGAAAACAUGUAGUUGGGACGACAUUUUAAAACUUGCAAUUGCGACCCGACGUUGAAAACAUGAAGUUACGACCAAACCUUACAAACAUGCAGUUGCGAAGUGACUUUAAAAAUAUGCAGUUGCGAUAACAUUUAGAAACAUGCAGUUGCACCCUUUGAAAGCAUCCACUUGUGAUUGUGACUCCAUGUAAAAAAAUAGAGUUGGGACCCCUUUGAAUAUAUGCACUUGUAGGCCCCCUUUUUCUUAUAAACGUACAACUAUGACCCCUUGCGAAACUGUAAUGUGUGUAGUUGCACGAUCUCUCCUUAAUACAUGUUUUUGGACGAUGAAAAACACAAAACUGUAAGCAUGGACAAAAAAAUCCAUAAUAAUUAUUUUACCAAAAAAUUAUCUACAAAAUUCAAACAAUGAAAAAGCACCUACCAAAAAUUAGAACAUCUACACAUGAAAAAGGAAUAAAAAAUAAUAAAUAAGACCUGAUGCAUCAAACCAUGACAAUGCUAGCCUAAAAAAAUUGAAAAAAAGAGAAGAAAUAACUUUUUUUUGAACAAAACAUAAGAAAUAACAAGGAUAGUUUGAAUAAAAAAAGAAAAAGAAAAGGUCCACCAAACCAGGGGCUGCCGCAUACACACAGUAUAAGUUAGAGGGGUGGUUGCCUGAUCAAUAGAGAGCGGCAUAGUCUUUUCGUAUGCGGCAAAAUGCAGAUUGACCAGAAAAGGCCCAUAUGCCCAUAACCCAACAACAUAGUCUUUUCGUAUGCGGCAAAGUUCAAUUACGUUUUAGAAGAAUGAAGUAAAAGAAUUGAAUGAAAGGAUCCCCCGAUCCAUCUUUUUAUUAAUGAAGCAAAGUAGUCUCCGAUUACAGCCAAAGCAACCACUAGUUCCAAACAGACUUAAACUAAAAACACAGAAUGAACCGACUCCAGUCACAGAUAAUAGCAGCAACCUAUUACAGACCGGGUACUUCUAGAACAAACUGUGGCUACUACUCUACGUCAGGCUACAGAGUCACCCAGGCGAUGCGAAGAAGCUCCCCUCAGCACUUGUCCAGCUUACUGAUGAACUGCCGAAGAACCACGUCAUGUGUGAUGUCGUAGAGUACACUCCAUUAUUGAAGAAAACUUUAAAGUUUCGCAAGCACACGCAGUCUAGACUUUUCCAAAAAUGACCCUGAAAAUAAAACUCAUUUCUUAGUCUUCAAAUACUGCACAAGAAGGCAGCAGCAAUCAUAUUCUGGACCGGUUUUUUUUAUGAAUCUGCCAUAAGGGUACAAACAUAUUUAAAGCAUGAAUUAAUUGGCAUUUGAAACAAUCAGCAAAUAAUUUCCAAAUGCACUUAGCCACCACACAAUCAAAAAACAGAUGUUGUACAGGUUCCAUCUCACUACAAAAUAAGCAAGUAUGAUCAUGAACAGAAUGAAGUAAAAUUAUUUCCUAACGGCGACAUUUUCCUUGUUAUAUAGGAGCUCAGCUUGGGCUGGAAUAUGGAUCGAUCUCGCGAGCAGUAAUCAGCCUAAUUAUAGCAAUUUGUGUACACUCUUUAUAUAAUCUGAUCUGAAAAAGGUGAUCUAGAGGAAAAGGGCAUGGAAAACGCUGUCCACUUCAAAGCCGGACGUCGGGACGUGAACACGUCAGAGCAGAGGCAUGAAACCAGCCAUAUUCAGCACGGACGCGUGAAGCUUGCAUGCAUGCAAUGCUUUCCAAUUUCCAGCUCCGUCGAUCAAUGUUCGCUCUAGACGGCUGCUACAUAUACCCCGUACUGCUCGUCCCAUAGCUCAUCAAGCAGCUCGAUCGACCGCACCACUACCGUAGUACCGUGCCUCAGAGCUCAUCACUGGUCAGGUACCAAGAAGACAUAAAAAUGGACGCCCAGAGCAAGGAGGUCGACGCCCUUGUCCAGAAGAUCACCGGCCUCCACGCCGCCAUCGCCAAGCUGCCCUCGCUCAGCCCGUCCCCGGACGUCGACGCGCUCUUCACCGACCUGGUCACCGCGUGCGCGCCCCCGAGCCCCGUGGACGUGACCAAGCUCGCCCCGGAGGCGCAGGCGAUGCGGGAGGGCCUCAUCCGCCUCUGCUCCGAGGCCGAGGGCAAGCUGGAGGCGCACUACUCCGACAUGCUCGCCGCCUUCGACAACCCGCUCGACCACCUCGGCGUCUUCCCCUACUACAGCAACUACAUCAACCUCAGCAAGCUCGAGUACGAGCUCCUCGCGCGCUACGUGCCCGGCGGCAUCGCCCCGGCCCGCGUCGCCUUCAUCGGCUCCGGCCCGCUGCCGUUCAGCUCCUACGUCCUCGCCGCGCGCCACCUGCCCGACACCGUGUUCGACAACUACGACCUGUGCGGCGCGGCCAACGACCGCGCGAGCAGGCUGUUCCGCGCGGACAAGGACGUCGGCGCCCGCAUGUCGUUCCACACCGCCGACGUCGCGGACCUCACCGACGAGCUCGCUACGUACGACGUCGUCUUCCUGGCCGCGCUCGUUGGCAUGGCCGCCGAGGACAAGGCCAAGGUGAUCGCGCACCUUGGCGCGCACAUGGCGGACGGGGCGGCCCUCGUCGUGCGCAGCGCGCACGGGGCGCGUGGGUUCCUCUAUCCGAUCGUCGAUCCCCAGGACAUUGGUCGAGGCGGGUUCGAGGUGCUCGCCGUGUGUCACCCCGACGACGACGUGGUGAACUCCGUCAUCAUCGCACAAAAGAGCAACGACGUGCACGAGUAUGGACUUGGCAGCGGGCGUGGUGGACGGUACGCGCGAGGCACGGUGGUGCCGGUGGUCAGCCCACCCUGCAGGUUCGGCGAGAUGGUGGCAGACGUGACCCAGAAGAGAGAGGAGUUUGCCAAGGCGGAAGUGGCCUUCUGAUUGCUGCGAGGUACACCGCUGCUGAAUCGUACGUGGUAAUUUUUCUACUCCUUCUCUUCCUACCACCACCUAUCACCUAUGUAUGCAUUUUAAGUCGUGUGUUAUUUGUAUCCAAUAAUGUAAGUGAGAUGUUUACACGCGCAUAUCUAUCUUGUAUACUCGGUCUCUGAAAGGCAUGGCAGAUCAGGAUAGUGUGCAAAGGAACAGCAAGUGUUGUUGCAGGUGUAUGUGUUUUGUUUUUUGUUUUUUUUGUGCGGGGGUUGAAGGUGUAUGUGUUGGGAAUAAGAUUAUUUUUGUUCACAAAUACGAUGUCUAAUCGGUGUCGUAUUCGUACCCGAGUACGUUUGUCCCGUUCUCAAGUUGGUCGCUAUGUCUGACGGGCGAUGCAUGUUGCUUUUGACCACGGAAUCCGCCCAUGGCUCGACAAGCUCCGUUAACGGCAAGUAAAGGCAAGUCAACACAAGGUAAAGAUGGUCGACAAUAGUUCAAGAAAGCUCCUGUGGGUCCGAGCAAGACACCCCACUCAAUAAAAUCUAAUCAAGCCUUCAUGGUCAACAAGUUUAAAAAAAAAGACCAUGUAAAAGAAUAAGUCAAAGAUCAACACACAUAAAAAAAGGAGCAAAGAAACUCAAACCCAAACAAUAAGAUUUUUGUAUGGCGCAGAAAUCUCUCCUUAAAUGGGCCUCCACCCCCUCCUACCACAUGGGCUAAAACAUUUAAAAUACUUCCUCCGUCUCAAAAUAACUGUCUCAAUUUUGUACUAGCUCUAGUACAAAAUUGUACUAAGCUUGAGACACUUAUAUUAGGACAGAGGGAGUAUGUAGUAUCAAUACAGUCCAUAUGUGCAUCCUCCUUCUAAUACCAAGUCCUUACUCUCGUGGAGCUGAUUCAUGGACGCGGCUAUGUAUCGCCUAUAGUGAUACCUUAUUUAGGGGUGCUUAUAUCUUUUUUCAGCAUAGUAUAAUUAAAGUCGCUCACAUACAUAAAUAUAUAAUUAUUCAUAUAAAUGUACACGCAAACUCUAUCUCUGUGAGCACUUUCGAGAAACCGACCGACACAUCAUCUUGAGAUUGACGAAGUCGUCACAGACACUUUCGUAGUCGACGGGAACGUCUUCUUUCACUAAACGCACAUCACAUGAAGGCCUGAAAUAAAUCUAGGAGAAUGCAAGCAUAAAUAUCAAGCUUGCGACUUGAACUCACGUAGACAGGGGGUACCACCAUUCUUCUAACCAUCCAAACACAGGUUCGUUCACGCCUAUAAUGAUACCUAGCGCAGUGUCGUUAGUGUGGCCUAGUUGGGUUGGCCCAGGAUGUUGGAGAACCACUGGAUCUCCAACACACAUUUUUGCUUUUCAUUUUUAUCACUUUUACUUAUAUUUUUAAUAUGGGAAAAUAUUUAUGUUUUAUAUAUGUACACCACACGUUCCAAAAAAAGUUAUCAUAGUGUAAAAAAAUGUUUGGGCAACUUUGAAAAAAAUAUCUAAAAUAAAAAAUGCCCAUGACAUUUUUUAAAAUUUUCAGAAAAUGUACAUAACAUUUCAAUAAAAGUAUUUAUGCAAUUCAAAAACUGUUUGUAUAAAUAUAAUAAAAAUGUUCAUACCAUUCAAGAAAUAUACGUGAAAUUUUAAAGAAUAAUUCUUGUGUUUCAAAUAGGAUCAUAACAUUUUUUCAAAGGUUCACAUAGUUUGACCAAAAUAUUUUCCAGCCAUUAAAAGAUGUACAAUGUGCGUUUGAAAAAAUGCUUAAACAUGUAUGAAAAAAUGUUCAAUAUAUGUAUUUGCAAAAAGGUACAUUCAUGUAUUGAAAAUGUUCAACAUGUGUCAAUUUGUUUUUCAUGUCUAUACUAAAAAUAUACAAUGAAUACUGAAAAGUGGGCAUGUGUUGGAAAAAAGAAAAACUCAAAGUAAACAAAAACAUAUGUGUUUGAAAAAGGUUAAACGUGUGUAAAAAACUGUUUCUAAUGUGUACGAAAAAUACACAAUGUGUAUGAUAAAAGUUGACAUAAAAACAUAUAUUUCAAAAAAGUGUUAAUCAUGCAUCCAAAAACCAUUAAAUGUGUAUAUAUUUUCCCUGUUGUAUACGAAAAAUGUAUAACCAGUAUGAAAAAAUAUAGACAUCAAAAAUAUAUUUAUAAAAAAAUUAAUCAUAUAUUUAAUAAAUUUAGAAAAUAUUCCUACAGCAUACUAAAAACAAACAAUAUGGUUGAAAAGUAGACGUGUGUUGAAAAAACCCCAAUGAAAACAGAUGAAAACUAAAAAAGAAAAAAAGAAAAAAGAAAAAAGAAAAAUCAAAGAAACUAAUGUAAAACACUGAAACAAGAAAAGACUGAACUAAGAAAAGAACAAAGAAAUCAAAGAAAAAAAUGGAAAACAAUGGAACACUGCGAAUAACCUAGAAAGCCUAUUUGGAUGUCGCGCAACAGAUGGACACAUGAGAAGGAGCGGAUUGACCCGGUUAUGUCAAUCAGAAAAGUUAGGGAGGAUCUGGCGCUUCUAGAUUUGCCUCGUGAGCAGGCCCUGGGGCUACCCCGGGUUUGGCUGGGAGCCUCCGAAUGUAUUGCAUGUCAAAAUAAACACGGACGCUGCAAUCCACUUUGAUGAUGGCAAUGUCGGUGCUCGCGGUGUUGCUCGUUCUGCAUUGGGAUUCAAGGGUGCUUGAUGUAAGCCUUUUGCGGGUGUUACAGACCCACUCAUCGCUGAAACUCUCUCUCUCUCUCUCUGAAGGAAGGCGUCAUUUUUGCCACACUUUGAGGCUACACGCACGUGAUCAUGGAAAUCGACUGUCUAGAGGCAGUUAACCUCUGGAAUUCUCGCCACACCGAUCGCUCGAUGGUGGCACCAAUUCUCACAGAAAUUGGAGAGCUAGCUCUUAGUUUUACAUCAUUUUGUAUUCAACAUGUAAUAAGAUCAGCAAAUGGUCCUGCACAUCUUUGUGCUAAGCGUGCUUGUACGCUUAAUGUGACCGACAGCUGGUUAGACUCUAUCCCUAGCUUCUUGAUCAUCAGCCUCUUGAUUGAUUGCUCAGCGAAUGCAUUUGUUGAAUAAAGCUUUCAGAAAUUCCCCGUAAAAAAAACUAAAGAAAAACUGAAGAAACGGAUGUCGCCUUGUUUGUUUUUCAUGUACUUAAUGCACCAGGCGGUCCAUUCCUUGUAUGGAUUGGUGAACCCCGUCCCUCCACCCCAUCCCCACUAAUCCGUGCUGCUAACCCCUUCCGUAGAAACCUCCCGCUACAAAUGUGUUUAGUUCUGUCGCCUUGCUCGAGAGAGAUGAAAAUUGCUCUUCACUCGGGAUUCCUUCCAUGGGGGUGCUAGAGGGUGAUUUUGUUCCUCGUGGAUCUAGAGAGAUUUGGUCUAGAGAAGACCACACAUGGCUUAAAUGGACGCAUAAAGGUGAAUUGGCUAGGUUUAUUUCCUAGUGGGGGUAAAUCCACAUUGACUCCCAUAAAUUGGACUCAAAACCAUAUGGUGGUGGGAGUAACCGAACGAGGCCUUAAGGGACCGAUAAGUUAUAUUUUUACUUUCUUCAUGUUAUUUAUGGUUUGAAUUGGCCUUUUCUAAAGCAUUACGCCCACUCAUAUGGUGAGUUGUUCAAAAAAAUUAAACAUGUGUUUAAUCUUUUUUAAGUGAAAAUUGAAAAAGGCUAAAGCAUUAUUAAAGAGCUAGCCAUGGAUAGAAAUGCGUGAAAGCUAGCUAUCAACGUAAGAAUCAUGGGUCAACUACGAGAUCUUAUCCGUUUCAGCUCUAGCGGACUCUAACUUAUUUUUGAAUACAUCCUUUGUUGAUGUUGUUGUAUUCUAAACCGAAAGCAAGUAUUACGGGAGAUCGAUUUGCAACCAAACCAAACUCAUAAUAAAUCCUCUUUUCCACGUUUUCGGAGCACCCAAGUUUUUGUGAGCAUUAUACUCCCUCGGUCCUUUUUAGUUUGCAUAUAAGUUUUGUUUAAAGUCAAAGUAUCUCUACUUUGAUCAAACUUAUAGAAAAAAUUAUCAACAUUCACCAUACCAAAUCAAUAUUGCUAGAUUCUUUACGAAAUGUAGUUUCAUAGCGUAUAUAUCUAGUAUUGUAGAUAUUGGUAUUCUUUAAAAUAAAUUUGAUUAAACUUUGUAAAAUUUAUCUUAGAUCAAAAUCUAAUACGCGGACUAAAAAGGACCUGAGGGAGUACAUGCAGUUGUUAGUUCAAAAAGGAGGAUAGAAUAACAAGAACCACGCCGGAUGGCCCACGUGUCAGCGGCCCGUGCUAAAAGACCACCCCUUAUCCCCUCUUCCACCGUCCCCUGCUGCUUGGCCCUGUGCCGCUCCACAUCACCCCGAGCUUCGUGUCCCCCUCGCUCGCAGCCUCGCAGCACCGCGCGGCCGGCCGGGCGCCAUGGCGCACUCCUGCCUCUCCGCGGCGCGCACGGCGGCGGCGCUGCGCCUCCCGCUCCAGGCCGACCNNNNNNNNNNNNNNNNNNNNNNNNNNNNNNNNNNNNNNNNNNNNNNNNNNNNNNNNNNNNNNNNNNNNNNNNNNNNNNNNNNNNNNNNNNNNNNNNNNNNCGCCGCCUCCCCCCUGGUGGCGUGGUGCAAGCUUGUGGGCUCCCUGGGGCCCACCUAGCCUGGCCCAAAGUCUCCAUGGACUUCUUCCGUUCGGGAAAAAAUAAUUUCAGGGAUUUUAUUUCGUUUGGACUCCGUUCCAAAAUCAGAUCUGAAAAGAGUCAAAACACCGAAAACAGGAACUCGCACUUGGCACUGAAUCAAUAAGUUAGUCCCCAAAAAGAUAUAAAAAGGCACAUAAAACAUACAAAGAAGACAAGAUAACAGCGUGAAACCAUCAAAAAUUAUAGAUACGUUUGAGACGUAUCAAGUAAUAGCAUAGAAAACUGGCCAGAAUGGACCAAAUAUGCGAGUUUUGACGAGGUCCCCAUAAACGGUCCCCGGAGUUCGUGGAAUGUUUGGAUCUCCUCGGGAAAGAAAAUCGAUGAGUAAUAGCAUAGAAAACUUGUCAGAAUGGACCAAAUCUGCGAGUUUUGACUAGGUCCUCGUAACCGGUAACCGGAGUUCGCGGAACGUUCGGAUCGCCCCGGGAACCAAAAUCAGUGAGUAAUAGCAUAGAAAACUGGCCAGAAUAGACUAAAUCUGCGUGUUUUGACGAGGUCCCUGCAACCGGUCCCCGGAGUUUAUGGAAUGUUUGUAGCGCCCGGGGACCAAGAAUUCGUGAGUAAUAACAUAGAAAACUGGCCAGAAUGGACAAAAUCAAUGGGUUUUGACGAAGUCCGCGUAACCGGUCCCCGGAAUUCGCGGAACGUUCGAAUCGGCCCGGGACCCAAAAUCAGUGAGUAAUAGUAUAGAAAACUUGCGAGAAUGGACCAAAUCUGCGAGAUUUGACGAGGUCCCCGUAACCNNNNNNNNNNNNNNNNNNNNNNNNNNNNNNNNNNNNNNNNNNNNNNNNNNNNNNNNNNNNNNNNNNNNNNNNNNNNNNNNNNNNNNNNNNNNNNNNNNNNAUAGCAUAGAAAACUGGCCAGAANNNNNNNNNNCGUAUCCGGUCCCCGGAGUUCGCGGAAUGUUUGGAUUUCCUCGGGAAACAAAAUCAGUUAGUAAUAUCAUAGAAAACUAGUCCAAAUGUACCAAAUCUGUAAGUUCUGACGAGGGCCCCGUAACCUGUACCCGGAGUUCACGGAACGUUCGGAUCGCCCCGGGAACCAAAAUCAUUGAGUAAUAUCAUAGAAAACUGGUCAGAAUGGACCAAAUCUAAGAGUUUUCACGAGGUCCCCGUAACCAGACCCUGAAGUUCCCCGAACAUUCGUAUCGCCCCGGGUCCAAGAUCAGUGAGUAAUAGCAAAGAAAACUGGACAGAAUGGCAAAAUCUUCAAGUUGUGAUGAGGUCCCAAUAACCGGUCCCGGGAGUUCGUGGAACGUUUGUAGCGCCCCGGGACCCAAAAUCAGUGAGUAAUCGCAUAGGAAACUCGCUAGAAUGGACCAAAUCUGCGAGUUUUGACAAUGUCCCCAUAACCGUACCCCAAAGUUCCCCGAACGUUCGGAUCUCCCCGGGACCCAAAAUCUGUGAGUAGUAGCAUCGAAAACUGGCCAGAAUGGACCGUAUUUGCGAGUUUGACGAGGUCCCCGUAACCGGUCCCCGAAGAUCCCCGAAUGUUUGCGGCGCCACGGGACCAUAGUUAGUGUGUAAUAGCACAGAAAACUGGCCAGAAUGGAUCGAAUCUACAAGCUUUCUCGAGGUCCCCAUAACAGGACCCCAUAGUUCACCGAACGUUUGUGUCGCCCCGGGACCCAAAAUCAGUGAGUAAUAGCAUAGAAAACUGGCCAGAAUGGACCAAAUCUGCAUGUUUUGACGAGGUCCCCAUAACCGGUCCCCGGAGUUCCCAGAAUGUUCGUAGCACCUAGGGACCCACAAUCAGUGAGUAAUAGCAUAGACAACUGGUCAAAAUGGAAAAAUCUAUGAGUUUAGGCGAAGUCCACGUAGCUGGUCCUCAGAGUUCGCGGAACAUUUGUAGCGCCCCGGGAACCAGAACGAGUGAGUAAUAGCAUAGAAUAUUGGCCAGAAUGGACCAAAUCUGCGUGUUUUUAUGAGGUCCUCGUAACUGGUCCCCGAAUUUCCCCGAACGUUUGUCGCACCACGGGACCCUGAAUCAGUGAGUAAUAGCAUAGAAAAUUGGCCAGAAUGGACCAAAUCUGCGAGUUUUGACGAGGUCCCCAUAGUCGGUCCCCAACUUUCCCCGAACGUUUGUAGCACCACGGGACCCUGAAUUAGUGAGUAAUAGCAUAGAAAAUUGGCCAGAACGGACCAAAUCUGCGAGUUUUGACGAGGUCCCCGUAACUGGUCCCUGGAGUUCGCGAAACGUUCGAAUCACCCCGGGAACCAAAAUCAGUGAGUAAUAGCAGAGAAAACUGAUCAGAAUGGACAAGAUCUGCGAGUUUUCACGAGGUCCCCGGAGUUCCCCGAAUAUUCGUAUCACCCCGGGUCCAAGAACACUGAGUAAUAGCAUAGAAAACUGGCCAGAUAGGACUAAAUUUGCGAUUUUGACGAGGUCCCCGUAACUGGUACCCGGAGUUCGUGGAACAUUUGUAGCGCCCGGGGACCCAGAAUCAGUGAGGUCGCAUAGGAAACUGCCGAGAAUAAACAAAAUCUGCGAGUUUUGACAAUGUCCCCAUAACCGGACCCCAAAGUUCCCCGAACGUUCGGAUCUUCGCGGGACCCAAAAUCAGUGAGUAAUAUCAUAUAAAACUGACGAGAAUGGACCAAAUUUGCAAGUUUUGACGAGGUCCCCCUAACCGGUCCCCGAAGUUUCCCGAAUGUUUGUGGCACCACGGGAUCAAUAAUUAGUGAGUAGUAGCAUAGAAAACUGGCUAGAAUGGAUCAAAUCUACAAGUCUUCACGAGGUCCCCAUAACGGGACUCCGAAGUUCCCCGAACAUUCGUGUCGCCCCGGACCCAAAAUCAGUGAGUAAUAGCAUAGAAAACUGGUCAGAAUGGACCAAAUCUGCGAGUUUUUGACGAGGUCCCCGUAACCGGUCCCCUGAGUUCGUGGAACGUUUGUAGCGCCCGAAGACCCAGAAUCAGUGAGUAAUAGCAUGGAAAAGUGGCCAAGAUGGACAAAGUGUACGAGUUUAGACGAGUUCCCCGUAACCGAUCCCCGGAGUACGCGAAACGUUCGGAUCGCUCCGGGAACCAAAAUCAGUGAGUAAUCGCAUAGAAAACUGGCUAGAAUGGACUAAAUCUGCGAGUUUUGACAAUGUCCCCAUAACCGGACAACAAAGUUCCCCGGACGUUUGUAUUCUCCGGGACCCAAAACCAGUGAGUAAUACCACAGAAAACUGGCCAAAAUGUAUGGAAUUUGCGAGUUUUGACGAGGUCCCCGUAACCGGUCCCCGAAGUUCCCCAAAUGUUUGUGGCGCCACGGGACCCAUAAUUAGUGAGUAGUAGCAUAGAAAACUGGCCAAUGGACCAAAUCUGCGAGUUUUGACGACGUCCCCGUAACCGGUCUCCUAAUCUCGUGGAAAGUUUGUACUUUGUAGUGCCUCGGGACCCAGAAUCAGUGAGUAAUAGCAUGGAAAACUGGCCAGAAUGGACAAAAUCUAUGAGUUUUGAUGAAGUCCCCGUACCCGGUCCCCGGAGUUCGCGGAACGUUCGAAUCGACCCAGGAACCAAAAUCAGUGAUAUUUGAGGAGGUCCCUGUAACCGGUCCCUGAAUUUCCCCGAACGUUUGUAGCGCCACGGGACCCUAAAUCAGUGAGUAAUAUCGUAGAAAACUGGCCAGAAUGAACAAAAUCUACGAGUUUUGACGAAGUCCUCGUAACCAGUUCGUGGAACGUUCGGAUCGGCCCGGGAACCAAAAUCAGUGAGUAAUAGCAUAGAAAACUAGACAGAAUGGACCUAAUCUGUGUGAUUUGACAAGGUCCCCGCAACCGGUCCCCGAAGUUCGUGGAACGUUCGAAUCGGCCCGGGAACCAAAAUCAGUGAGUAAUAGCAUAGAAAACUGGCCAACAUGGACCAAACCUGCGUGAUUUGACAAGGUCCCCGUAACCGGUCCCCGAAUUUCCGCGAACGUUUGUACCACCACAGGACCCUGAAUCAGUGAGUAAUAGCAUAGAAAACUGGCCAGAAUGGACCAAAUCUGCGAGUUUUGGCGAGGUCACCGUAACCGGUACCUGGAGUUCACGGAACGUUCGGAUCUCCCCGGGAACCAAAAUCAGUGAGUAAUAGCAUAAAAAACUGGCCAGAAUGGAUCAAAUCUGCGAGUUUUCACGAGGUCCCCGUAACUAGACCCUGAAGUUCUUCGAACAUUCGUAUUGCCCCGGGUCCAAAAUCGAUGAGAAAUAGCAUAAAAAACUGGACAGAAUGGACAAAAUCUGUGAGUUGUGACGAGGUCACCGUAAUCGGUCCCCGGAGUUCGAACGUUUGUAGCGCCGGGAGACCCAAAACCAAUGAGCGAUAGUAUAGUAAAAUGGCGAGAACGGACCAAAUCUGCGAGAUUUGACGAAGUCCCCGUAACCGGUCCCCGAAUUUCCCCAAACAUUUGUAGCACCACGUGACCCCGAAUUAGUGAGUAACCACACAGAAAACUGGCUAGAAUGGACCAAAUCUGCGAGUUUUGAUAAUGUCCCUAUAACCGGACCCCAAAGUUUCCGGAACGUUCGAAUCUCCCCGGGACCCAAAAUUAGUGAGUAAUAACAUAGAAAACUGGCCAGAAUGGACCAAAUUCACGAGUUUUGACGAGGUCACCGUAUCCAGUCCCCGAAGUUCCCAGAAUGUUUGCGUCGCCACGGGACCCAUAAUUAGUGAGUAAUAGCAUAGAAAACUGGCAAGAAUGGAUUGAAUCUACAAGUUUUCACGAGGUCCCCAUAACCGGACCCGAAAGUUCCUCGAACGUUGGUGUCGCCUCGGGACCCAAAAUCAGUGAGUAAUAGCAUAGAAAACUGGCCAGAAUAGACCAAAUUUGGCCAGAGGUCCCCGUAUUUGGUCCCCGGAGUUCGUGGAACAUUUGUAGCGUGCGGGGAGCCAGAAUCACUGAGUAAUAGCAUAGAAAACUGGCCAGAAAGGACAAAAUCUACGAGUUUUGAGAAGUCCCCGUUACGAGUCCCCAGAGUUCGCGGAACGUUCGGAUCGGCCCGGAACCAAAAUCAGUGAGUAAUAGCAUAGAAAAUUGGCCAGAAUGGAAUAAUCUGCAAGAUUUGACGAGGUCCCCGUAACCGGUCUCCGAAUUUUCCCGAACGUUUGUAGCACCACGGGACCCAAAAUCAGUGAAUAAUAGCAUAGAAAACUAGCCAGAAUGGACCAAAUCUGCGAGNNNNNNNNNNCUAAGAGGUCAGCAGAGUUCGCGGACUGUUUGGAUCUCUCCGCGAACAAAAAUCGGUGAGUAAUAGCAUAGAAAACUGGCUAGAAUGGACCAAAUGUACGAGUUUUUGCAAGGUCUCCGUAACCGGUCCGUGGAGUUCGCGGCACAUUCGGAUCGCGCCGGGAACCAAAAAUCACUGAGUAAUAGCAUAGAAAACUGGCCAGAAUGGACGAAAUCUGCGAGUUUUCACGAGGUCCCCGUAACCAGACCCAGAAGUUCCCCGAACAUUCGUAUUGCCCCGGGUCCAAAAUCAAUGAGAAAUAGCAUGAAAAAUUGAACAGAAUGGACAAAAUCUGCAAAUUUUGACGAGGUCCCCGGAGUUAGUGGAACGUUUGUAGCGCCCCGGGACCCAUAACUAGUGAGUAAUAGCAUAGAAAACUUGCGAGAAUGGACCAAAUCUGCGAGAUUUGACGAGGUCCCCGUAACCGGUUCUCGAAUUUCCCCGAAUGUUUGUAGACCACGAGACCCUGAAUUAGUGAGUAAUCGUAGAGAAAACUGGCUCGAAUGGACCAAAUCUGCGAGUUUUGAUAAUGUCCCCAUAACCGAACCCCAAAGUUCUUUGAAUGUUUGGAUCUCCCCGGGACCCGAAAUUAGUGAGUAAUAGCAUAGAAAACUGGCCAGAAUGGACCAAAUUUGCGAGUUUUGACAAGGUCCCCGUAUCCGGUUGCCGAAGUUCCCACAAUGUUUGCGGCGCCAUGGGACCCAUAAUUAGUGUGUAACUACGAGGUAGAGGUUUGAGUUGCACGUGGCAAAGUUGUGUCUCAAAAACCCAAAAAGCUCUAGUAUAUAUAUGAGGAGGGGAGGGGCUAGGCUUGAGGCUCAAGUGAGCCUCAACGACGCCGGUCGAGAAAGGAGAGGAGGACUCCAACUCCAAUUCGGUUUGGGGAAGGAGGAGUCCUCAUCUUCCUUCCCGCGUGCCUCUUUUUUUUUCUUUUUUAUUUUUGGUUUUCUUUUCCUAGCGCCAUAGACUACUUGGGCUGGCCUCACCAGCCCACUAAGGGCUGGUUCGACACAGUUGGUCUCUUAGGCUCACUCCUGGGUGGGUGGGCCACUCCCUGUGAAAAUCCGGAACCCAUUCGUCACUCCCGGUACACUGUCGGUAAUGCCCAAAAUCAUUUUGGUGACCAAAUGAAACCAUACUAUAUAUCAAUCUUCGUUUCCGGACCAUUUCGGAAACCCUCGUGACGUCCGUGAUCUCAUCCGCGACUCCGAACAACCUUCGGUCACAAACACCUAUAACUCAACUAUACCGAAACGUCACUGAACCUUAAGUGUGCACACCAUGCGGGUUCGAGAACUAUGCAGACAUAACCUGAGACACUCUCUGGUCAAUAACCAACAGCGGGACCUGGAUGUCCAUAUUGGUUUCUACAUAUUCUACGAAGAUCUCUAUCGGUUGAACCUCUAUGUCAAGGUUCAUAUAAUCCCGUAUACUAUUCCCUUUGUCCUUCGGUAUGUUACUUCCCCGAGAUUCGAUUGUGGUAUCUCUAUACCAAGUUCAAUCUCGUUACCGGCAAGGCUCUUUACUCGUUCUGUAAUACAAGAUCUCGUAACUAACCCGUUAGUCACAUUGCUUGCAAGGCUUGUUGUGAUGUUGUAUUACCGAGUGNNNNNNNNNNCGAGUUCUGACGAAGUCCCCGUAACCAGUUUGCAGAACGUUCGGAUCGGUCCGAGAACCAAAAUCAUUGAGUAAUAACAUAGAAAGCUAGCGAGAAUGGACCAAAUCUGUGAGAUUUGACGAGGUCCCCGUAACCGGUCCCCGGAGUUCGUGGAACGUUCGAAUCGGUCCAGAACCAAAAUCAGUGAGUACUAGCAUAGAAAACUAGCCAAAAUGGACCAAAUCUGCGUGAUUUGACGAGGUCCCCGUAACCGGUCCCCGAAUUUCCCCGAACGUUUGUAGCACCACGGGACCCUGAAUCAGUGAGUAAUAGCAUAGAAAACUAGCCAGAAUGGACCAAAUCUGCGAGUUUUGACAAGGUCCCCGGAGUUCGCGGGCUGUUUGGAUCUCUUCGCGAACAAAAAUCAGUAAAUAAUAGCAUAGAAUACUGGCUAGAAUGGACCAAAAGUACGGGUUUUGGCGAGGUCCCCGUAACCGGUACCUAGAGUUCGCGGAAUGUUCGGAUCGCCUCGGCAACCAAAAUUAGUGAGUAAUAGCAUAAAAAACUAGUCAGAAUGGACCAAAUCUGCGAGUGUUCACGAGGUCUCCGUAACUAGACUGUGAAGUUCCCCGAACAUUCGUAUUACCCCACGUCCCAAAUCAAUGAAAAAUAGCAUAAAAACUGGACAGAAUGGACAAAAUCUGUGAAUUGUGUUGAGGUCCCUGUAACCGGUCCCCGGAGUUCGUGGAACGUUUGUAGCGCCCCGGGACCCAGAACCAGUGAGUAAUAGCAUAGAAAACUAGCGAGAAUUGACCAAAUCUGCGAGAUUUGACGAGAUCCCCGUAACCGGUCCCCGAAUUUCCCCGAACGUUGUAGCACCACGGGACCUUGAAUUAGUGAGUAAUCGCAGAGAAAACUGGCUAGAAUGGACCAAAUCUGCGAGUUUUGAUAAUGUCCCCAUAACCGGACCCCAAAGUUCCCCGAACGUUCGGAUCUCCCCGGGACCCGAAAUUAGUGAGUAGUAGCAUAGAAAACUGGCCAGAAUGGACCAAAUUUGCGAGUUUUGACGAGGUCCCCGNNNNNNNNNNUCCGGUCGCCGAAGUUCCCACAAUGUUUGCGGCGCCAUGGGACCCAUAAUUAUUGUGUAACUACGAGGUAGAGGUUUGAGUUGCACGUGGCAAAGUGUGUCUCAAAACCCCAAAAACCUCUAGUAUAUAUAGGAGGAGGGGAGGGGCUAGCCUUGAGGCUCAAGGGAGCCUCAAGGGCGCCGGCCGAGAGAGGAGAGGAGGACUCCAACUCCAAUUCGGUUUGGGGAAGGAGGAGUCCUCCUCAUCCUUCCCGCCUCCCUCUUUUUUUCUUUUUUCUGGUUUUCUUUUCCUAGCACCAUAGCCCACUUGGGCUCGCCUCACCAGCCCACUAAGGGCUGGUGCGCCACCCUUGGGCUCUUAAGCUCACUCCUGGGUGGGUGGGCCCCUCCCGAUGAACAUCCGGAACCCAUUCGUCACUCCUGGUACACUGCCGGUAAUGCCCGAAAUCUUUUCGGUGACCAAAUGAAACCAUCCUAUAUAUCAAUCUUCGUUUCCGGACCAUUACGGAAACCAUCGUGACGUCUGUGAUCUCAUACGCGACUCCGAACAACCUUCGGUCACAAACACCUGUAACUCAACUAUACUGAAACGUCACUGACCCUUAAGUGUGCAGACCCUACGGGUUCGAGAACUAUGCAGACAUAACCUGAGACACUCUCUGGUCAAUNNNNNNNNNNNNNNNNNNNNNNNNNNNNNNNNNNNNNNNNNNNNNNNNNNNNNNNNNNNNNNNNNNNNNNNNNNNNNNNNNNNNNNNNNNNNNNNNNNNNNNNNNNNNNNNNNNNNNNNNNNNNNNNNNNNNNNNNNNNNNNNNNNNNNNNNNNNNNNNNNNNNNNNNNNNNNNNNNNNNNNNNNNNNNNNNNNNNNNAUCCUUCGGUAUGUUACUUGCCCGAGAUUCGAUCGUGGUAUCUCUAUACCUAGUUCAAUCUCAUUACCGGCAAGUCUCUUUACUCGUUCCGUAAUACAAGAUCUCGUAACUAACCCCUUAGUCACAUUGCUUGCAAGGCUUGUUGUGAUGUUGUAUUACCGAGUGGGCCCCGAGAUACCUCUCUGUCACACGGAGUGACAAGUCCCAGUCUUGAUCCAUGCCAACCCAACAAACACCUUUGGAGAUACCUGUAGAGCACCUUUAUAGUCACCCAGUUAUGUUGCGACGUUUGAUAACACACAAAGUAUUCCUCCGGUGUCCGGGAGUUGCAUGAUCCCAUGGUCAUAGGAACACAUACAUUGACAUGCAGAAAACAGUAGCAAUAAAUUGACACGAUCAUAUACUACGUUUAUAGUUUGGGUCUUGUCCAUCACAUCAUUCUCCCAAUGAUGUGAUCCCGUUAUCAAGUGACAACACUUGCCUAUGGCCAGGAAACCUUGACCAUCUUUGAUUAACGAACUAGUCAACUAGAGACUCACUAGGGACAGUGUGUUGUCCAUGUAUNNNNNNNNNNCGUGACAAGUCCCAGUCUUGAUCCAUGUCAACCCAACAGACACCUUUGGAGAUACCUGUAGAGCACAUUUAUAGUCACCCAGUUACGUUGCGACGUUUGAUAACACACAAAAUAUUCCUCCGAUGUCCGGGAGUUGCAUGAUCUCAUGUUCAUUGGAACAUAUUCAUUGACAUGCAGAAAACAGUAGCAAUAAAUUGACACGAUCGUAUACUACGUUUAUAGUUUGGGUCUUGUCCAUCACAUCAUUCUCCCAAUGAUGUGAUGCCGUUAACAAGUGACAACACUUGCCUAUGGCUAGGAAACCUUGACCAUCUUUGAUCAAUGAACUAGUCAACUAGAGACUCACUAGGGACAGUGUGUUGUCCAUGUAUNNNNNNNNNNAAUUCUAGCAUGGAUAAUAAAUGAUUAUUAUGAACAAGGAAAUAUAAUAAUAACUUAUUUAUUAUUGGCUGUAGGGCAUAUUUCCAACAUGUAGCACCCCAGGAACAAGAACCAGUGAGUAAUAGCAUCGAAAAUUGGCCAGAAUGGACCAAAUCUACGAGAUUUGAUGAGGUCCCCGUAACCGGUCCCCGAAUUUCCCCCAACGUUUGUAGCACCACGGGCCUUGAAUCAGUGAGAAAUAGCAUAGAAAACUAGCCAGAAUGGACCAAAUCUGCGAGUUUUGACGAAGUCCCCGUAAACGAUCCCUAGAGUUCGCGGAAUGUUUGGAUCUCCUAGGGAUAAAAAAUCAGUGAGUAAUAGCAUAGAAAACUGGUUAGAAUGGACCAAAUGUGCGAGUUUUUACUAGGUCCCUGUAGCCGGUGCCCGGAGUUCGCAGAACGUUCGGAUCGCCCCGGGAACCAAAAUCAGUGAAUAAUAGCAUAGAAAACUGGUCAAAAUGGACCAAAUCUGUGAGUUUUCACGAGGUCCCCGUAACCAGAUCCUGAAGUUCCCCAAACAUUCGUAUCGCCCCGGGUCCAAGAUCAGUGAGUAAUAGCAUAGAAAACUGGACAAAAUGGACAAAAUCUGCGAGUUGCGACGAGGUCCCCAUAACCGGUCCCCGGAGUUCGUGGAACGUUUGUAGCACACUAGACCCAGAAGCAGUGAGUAAUAGCAUAGAAAAUAGGCCAUAAUGGACCAAAUCUGCGAGUUUUGACAAGGUCCCCGUAACUGGUCCCCGAAGUUCGCGGAACGUUCGGAUCACUCCGGGAACCAAAAUGAGUGAGUAAUCGCAUAGAAAACCAGCUAGAAUAGGCCAAAGCUGUGAGUUUUGACAAUGUCCCAAUAACCGGACCCCAAAGUUCCCCGAACGUUUGGAUCUCCCCGGGACCCAAAAUCAAUGAGUAAUAGCAUAGAAAAUUGGCUAAAAUAGACCAAAUUUGCAAGUUUUGACGAGGUCCCCGUAACCGGUGCCCGAAGUUCCCCGAAUGUUUGCGGCGCCACGGGACCCAUAAUUAGUGAGUAAUAGCAUAGAAAACUCGCAGAAUGGAUCGAAUCUACGAGUUUUCACGAGAUCCCCUUAACCGGACCCCGAAGUUCCCCGAACGUUCGUGUCGCCCCGGGACCCAAAAUCAGUGAGUAAUAGCAUAGAAAACNNNNNNNNNNNNNNNNNNNNNNNNNNNNNNNNNNNNNNNNNNNNNNNNNNNNNNNNNNNNNNNNNNNNNNNNNNNNNNNNNNNNNNNNNNNNNNNNNNNNNNNNNNNNNNNNNNNNNNNNNNNNNNNNNNNNNNNNNNNNNNNNNNNNNNNNNNNUGGAACGUUUGUAGCGCCCAGGGACCCAGAAUCAGUGAGUAAUAGCAAAGAAAACUAGCGAGAAUGAACAAAAUCUACGAGUUUUGAUGAGGUCCCCGUAACCAGUACCCGGAGUUCGCGGAACGUUCGGAUUGGCCCGAAAACCAAAAUCGGUGAGCAAUAGCGUACAAAACUGGCGACAAUGGACCAAAUCUGCAAGAUUUGACGAGGUCCCCGUAACCGGUCCCCGAAUUUCCCCGAACGUUUGUAGCACCACGGGACCCUGAAUCAGUGAGUAAUAGCGUAGAAAACUAGCCAGAAUGGACCAAAUCUGUGAGUUUUGACAAUAUCCCCAUAACCAUACCCCAAAGUUCCAUGAAUGUCCAGAUCUCCCCGAGACCCAAAAUCAGUGAGUAAUAGAAUAGGAAACUGGCCAGAAUGGACCAAAUGUGCGUGUUUUCACGAGGUCCCCGGAGUUCGCUGAAUGUUUGUAGCGCCCGGGGACCCACAAUCAGUGAGUAAAAGGAUAGGAAACUGGCGAGAAUGGACAAAAUCUAUGAGUUUUGGCGAAGUCGGUGUAACCGGUCCCCGGAGUUUGCGGAAUAUUUUUAGCGCCCGGAAACCAGAACCAGUGAGUAAUAGCAUAGAAAAUUGGCCAGAAUGGACCAAAUCAAUGAGAUUUGACGAGGUCCCCGUAACCAGUCCCCAAAUUUCCCCGAAUGUUUGUAGCACCACGGGACCCUGAAUCAAUGAGUAAUAGCAUAGAAAACUAGCCAGAAUGGACCAAAUAGCGAGUUUUGAUGAGGUCCCCGUAAACGGUCUCCGGAGUUUGCACAAUGUUUGGAUCUCCUCGGGAAACGAAAUCGGUGAGUAAUAGCGUAGAAAACUGGUGAGAAUGGACCAAAUCUGCGAGUUUUGACGAGGUCCCCGUAACCGGUACCCGGAGUUCGCGGAACGUUUGGAUCGCCCCGGGAACCAAAAUAAGUGAGUAAUAGCACAGAAAACUGGCCAGAAUAGACCAAAUAUGCGUGUUUUGACGAGGUCCGCGUAACCGGUCCCCGGAAUUCGUGGAAUGUAUGUAGCACCCGGGGACCGAGAAUCUAUGAAUAAUAACAUAGAAAAUUGACCAGAAUGGACAAAAUCAAUGAGUUUAGAUGAAGUCCGCGUAACCGGUCCCCAGAAUUCGCGAAAUGUUUGAAUCGGCCCGGGACACAAAAUCAGUGAGUCCCUGUAACCAGUCCUCGGAGUUCGUGGAACGUUCGGAUCGGCCCGGAACCAAAAUCAGUGAGUAAUAGCAUAGAAAAUUGACAGAAUGGACUAAAUCUGCAAGAUUUGACGAGGUCCCCGUAACCGGUCCCCGAAUUUUCCCGAACGUUUGUAGCACCACGGGACCCUGAAUGAGUGAAUAAUAGCAUAGAAAACUAGCCAGAAUGGACCAAAUCUGCGAGNNNNNNNNNNGUAAAAGGUCCCCAGAGUUCGCGGAAUGUUUGGAUCUCCCCGGGAAACAAAACCAGUCAGUAAUAGCAUAGAAAACUGGCCAGAAUGGACCAAAUGUGCGAGUUUUGACGAGAUCUCCGUAACCGGUCCCUGGAGUUCGCGGAACAUUCGGAUCGCGCCGAGAACCAAAAAUCACUGAGUAAUAGCAUAGAAAACUGGCCAGAAUUGACGAAAUCAACGAGUUUUCACGAGGUCACCGUAACCAGACCCGGAAGUUCCCCGAACAUUAGUAUCGCCCCUGGUCCAAAAUCAUCGAGUAAUAGCAUAGAAAACUGGACAGAAUGGACAAAAUCUACGAGUUGUGACGAGGUCCCCGUAAUCGGUCCCUGGAGUUCGUGCAACGUUUGUAGCGCCCCGGGACCCAGAACCAGUGAGUAAUAGCAUAGAAAACUGGUCAGAAUGGACCACAUCUGCGAGUUUUCACAAGGUCCCCGUAAUCGGUCCCCGAAGUUCGCGGAACGUUCGGAUUGCUCCGGGGAACCAAAAUCAAUGAGUAAUCGCAUAGAAAACUGGCCAGAAUACCAAAUCUGUGAGUUUUGAAAAUGUCCCCAUAACCGGACCCCAAAGUUCCCCGAACGUUCGGAUCUCCCAGGACCCAAAAUCAGUGAGUAAUAGCAUAGAAAACUGGCCAGAAUGGACCAAAUUUGUGAGUUUUGACGAGGUCCCUAAAACAGGUCCCCGAAGUUCCCCGAAUGUUUGUGGCGCCACGGGAUCCAUAAUUAGUGAGUAAUAGCAUAGAAAACUGGCCAGAAUGGAUCAAAUCUACAAGUUUUCACGAUGUCCCCAUAAUCGGACCACGAAAUUCCCGAAAUGUUUGUGUCGCCCUGGGACCCAAAAUCAGUCAGUAAUAGCAAAGAAAACUGGCCAGAAUGGACCAAAUCUGCGUGUUUUGAUGAGGUCCCCGUAACCGGUCCGAGGAGUUCGUGGAAUGUUUGUAGCGCCCGUGGACCGAGAAUCACUGAGUAAUAGCAUAGAAAACUAGCCAGGAUGGACAAAAUCAAUGAGUUUUGACGAAGUCCACGUAAACGGUCCCCGGAGUUCGCGAAACGUUCGAAUCGGCUCGGAACCAAAAUCAGUGAAUAAUAGCAUCGAAACCUGACCAGAAUGGACCAAAUCUGCGAGAUUUGACGAGGUCCCCGUAACCGGUCNNNNNNNNNNNNNNNNNNNNNNNNNNNNNNNNNNNNNNNNNNNNNNNNNNNNNNNNNNNNNNNNNNNNNNNNNNNNNNNNNNNNNNNNNNNNNNNNNNNNCGCAUGGGAAACAAAAAUUUUCCUACGCACACGAAGACCUAUCAUGGUGACGUCCAUCUACGAGAGGGGAUGAGUGAUCUACGUACCCUUGUAGACCGUNNNNNNNNNNUCGGUAUUUUGAUAUGUUGUAUAUUGUUUUUCCUCUAGUGGUGUUAUGUAAACGUCGACUACAUAACACUUCACCAUUAUUUGGGCCUAGAGGAAGGCAUUGGGAAGUAGUAAGUAGAUGAUGGGUUGCUAGAGUGACAGAAGCUUAAACCCUAGUUUAUGUGUUACUUCGUAAGGGGCUGAUUUGGAUCCACUAGUUUAAUGCUAUGGUUAGACAUUGUCUUAAUUCUUCUUUCCUAGUUGUGGAUGCUUGCGAGAGGUGUUAAUCAUAAGUGGGAUGCUUGUCCAAGUAAGGGCAGUACCCAAGCACCGGUCCACCCACAUAUCAAACUAUCAAAGUAAUGAACGUGAAUCAUAUGAACAUGAUGAAACUAGCAUGACAGAAAUUUCCGUGUGUCCUCGGGAGCGUUUUUCCUCCUAUAAGACUUUGUCCAGGCUUGUCCCUUGCUACAAAAGGGAUUGGGCCACCUUGCUGCACCGUUGCUACUUUUGUUACUUCUUGCUUGCUACGAAUCAUCUCACCACACAAUCACUUGUAACCGACAAUUUCACUGCUUGCACAUAUUUCCUUGCUGAAAACCACUUGUCAGAUCCUUCUGCUCCUCGUUGCGUUCGACACUCUUACUUAUCGAAAGGACUACGAUUGAUCCCCUAUACUUGUGGGUCAUCAUGGACCAAAUCUGCGAGAUUUGACGAGGUCCCCGUAACCGGUCCCCGANNNNNNNNNNNNNNNNNNNNNNNNNNNNNNNNNNNNNNNNNNNNNNNNNNNNNNNNNNNNNNNNNNNNNNNNNNNNNNNNNNNNNNNNNNNNNNNNNNNNUCCUCGGUCAAUAUCCAAUAGCGGGACCUGGAUGCCCAUAUUGGAUCCUACAUAUUCUACGAAGAUCUUAUCGUUUGAACCUCAGUGCCAAGGAUUCGUAUAAUCCCGUACGCCAUUCCCUUUGUCCUUCGGUAUGUUACUUGCCCGAGAUUCGAUCGUCAGUAUCCGCAUACCUAUUUCAAUCUCGUUUACCAGCAAGUCUCUUUACUCGUUCCGUAAUACAAGAUCCCGCAACUUACACUAAGUUACAUUGCUUGCAAGGCUUGUGUGUGAUGUUGUAUCACCGAGUGGGCCCCGAGAUACCUCUCCAUCACACGGAGUGACAAAUCCCAGUCUUGAUCCAUACUAACUCAACUAACACCUUCGGAGAUACCUGUAGAGCAUCUUUAUAGUCACCCAGUUAUGUUGCGACGUUUGAUACACACAAAGCAUUCCUCCGGUGUCAGUGAGUUAUAUGAUCUCAUGGNNNNNNNNNNNNNNNNNNNNNNNNNNNNNNNNNNNNNNNNNNNNNNNNNNNNNNNNNNNNNNNNNNNNNNNNNNNNNNNNNNNNNNNNNNNNNNNNNNNNNNNNNNNNNNNNNNNNNNNNNNNNNNNNNNNNNNNNNNNNNNNNCCCAAUGACGUGAUCCAGUUAUCAAGCAACAACACCUUGUUCAUAAUCAGAAGACACUGACUAUCAUUGAUCAACUGGCUAGCCAACCAGAGGCAUGCUAGGGACAGUUUUUUGUCUAUGUAUCCACACAUGUAAAUGAGUCUUCAGUCAAUACAAUUAUAGCAUGGAUAAUAAACUAUUAUCUCGAUACAGGAAUUAUAAUAAUAACUAUAUUUAUUAUUGCCUCUAGGGCAUAAUUCCAACAGUCUCCCACUUGCACUAGAGUCAAUAAUCUAGCCCUCACAUCACCAUGUGAAUUACAUUGUAAUAAAUCUAACACCCAUACAGUUCUGGUGUCGAUCAUGUUUUGGCCGUGGGAGAGGUUUAGUCAGCGGGUCUCCUACAUUCAGAUCCGUGUGCACUUUGCAUAUAUUUACGUCCUCUUCCUCGACGUAGUCGCGGAUGAGGUUGAAGCGUCGUUUGAUGUGUCUGNNNNNNNNNNUCAUGCGAAUUACAUUGUAAUAAAUCUAACACACAUACAGUUCUGGUGUUGAUCAUGCUUUGCCCGUGGAAGAGGUUUAGUCAGCGGGUCUGCUACAUUCAGAUCCGUGUGCACCUUGCAUAUAUUUACGUCCUCCUCCUCGACGUAGUCGCGGAUGAGGUUGAAGCGUCGUUUGAUGUGUCUGGUCUUCUUGUGAAACCUUCGUUCCUUUGCUAAGGCAAUGGCACCAGUGUUGUCACAGAACAAGGUUAUUGGAUUCAGUGCGCUUGGCACCACUCCAAGAUCCGUCAUGAACUGCUUCAUCCAGACACCCUCCUUAGCCGCCUCCGACGCAGCCAUGUACUCCGCUUCACAUGUAGAAUCAGCUACGACGCUUUGCUUGGAACUGCACCAGCUUACAGCACCCCCAUUAAGAAUAAAUACGUAUCCGGUCUGCGACUUAGAGUCGUCCGGAUCUGUGUCAAAGCUUGCAUCGACGUAACCCUUUACGGCGAGCUCUUCGUCACCUCCACACACGAGAAACAUCUCCUUAGUCCUUUUCAGGUACUUCAGGAUAUUCUUAACCGCCGUCCAGUGAUUCACUCCUGGAUUACUCUGGAACUUGCCUGCCAUACUUAUGGCCAGGCUAACGUCCGGUCUAGUGCACAACAUUGCAUACGUGAUAGAUCCUAUGGCUGAAGCAUAGGGGACGGUGCUCAUAUGCUCUCUAUCUUUAUCAGUUGCUGGGCACUGAGUCUUACUCAAUCUCGUACCUUGUAAAACNNNNNNNNNNCGAUCAACUGGCUAGCCAACUAGAGACAUGCUAGGGAUGGUGUUUUGUCUAUGUAUCCACACAUGUAAAUGAGUCUUCAUUCAAUACAAUUAUAGCAUGGAUAAUAAACUAUUAUCUUGAUACAGGAAUUAUAAUAAUAACUAUACAUUUAUUAUUGCCUCUAGGGCAUAAUUCCAACACCAAUAUAUCACAUCACAUCGUUGGCCAUAUCACAUCACAAGCAUACCCUGCAAAAACAAGUUAGACGUCCUCUAAUUUUGUUGUUGCAUGUUUUACGUGGUGACCAUGGGUAUCUAGUAGGAUCACAUCUUACUUACGCAAACACCACAACGGAGAUAUAUGAAUUGCUAUUUAACCUUAUACAAGGACCUCCUCGGUCAAAUCCGAUUCAACUAAAGUUGGAGAAACCGACACUUGUCAGUCAUCUUUGAGCAAAGGGGGUUACUCGUAGCGAUGAAACCAGUCUCUCGUAAGCGUAUGAGUAAUGUCGGUCCAAGCCGCUUCAAUCCAACAAUACCGCGGAAUCAAGAAAAGACUAAGGAGGGCAGAAAAACGCACAUCACCGCCCACAAAAACUUUUGUGUUCUACUCGAGAAGACAUCUACGCAUGAACCUAGCUCAUGAUGCCACUGAUGGGGAACGUCGCAUGGGAAACAAAAAAAAUUCCUACGCGCACGAAGACCUAUCAUGGUGAUGUUCAACUACGAGAGGGGAUUUCCGAUCUACGUACCCUUGUAGAUCGCACAUCAGAAGCAUUAGUGAACGCGGUUGAUGUAGUGGAACGUCCUCACGUCCCUCGAUCCGCCCCGCGAACCAUCCCACGAACCGUCCCGCGAUCCGUCCCACGAUCUAGUGCCGAACGGACGGGACCUCCGCGUUCAGCACACGUACAUCUCGACGAUGAUCUCGGCCUUCUUGAUCCAGAAGAGAUACGGAGAGGUAGAUGAGUUCUCCGGCAGCGUGACGGCGCUCCGGAGGUUGGUGGUGAUCUGAUCUCGGCAGGGCUCCGCCCGAGCUCCGCAGAAACGCGAUCUAGAGGUAAAACCGUGGAGGUAUGUGGUCGGGCUGCCUUUGAAAAGUUAUCUCAAAUCAGCCCUAACUGCUCCAUAUAUAUAGGAGGAGGGAGGGGAGGCUUGCCUUGAGGCUCAAGGAGCCCCAAGGGCUGCGCACCAAGGGGAGGAGGAGUCCUCCUCCAAUCCUAGUCCAACUAGGNNNNNNNNNNNNNNNNNNNNNNNNNNNNNNNNNNNNNNNNNNNNNNNNNNNNNNNNNNNNNNNNNNNNNNNUCUUUCUCUUUGAUUUUCUAUCCUUCGCGCAUAGGGUCCUCUUGGGCUGCCCCACCAGCCCACCAAGGGCUGGUGCGCCACUCCCAAGGCCUAUGGGCUUCCCCGGGGUGGGUUGCCCCCCCGGUGAACACCCGGAACCCAUUCGUCAUUCCCGGUAACUCCGAAAACCUUCCGGUAAUCAAAUGAGGUCAUCCUAUAUAUCAAUCUUCGUUUCCGGACCAUUNNNNNNNNNNCGCUCCGGAGGUUGGUGAUGAUCUCGUCUCAGCAGGGCUCCGCCCGAGCUCCGCAGAAACGCGAUCUAGAGGAAAAACUAUGGAGGUAUGUGUUCGGGCUGCCGUGGCAAAAGUUGUCUCAAAUCAGCCCUAAUACCUUAGUAUAUAUAGGAGGGAGGGGGAGGGAAGAGGCAGCCUCAAACCCUCAAGGUUUGGCCGAAAUUGGAGGUGGAGGAGUCCUACUCCAAUCCUACUUGGAGUAGGAUUCCACCUUCCCACUUGGAAACUCUUUCCACCUUGUGUUUUUUCCUUCUCAAACCUUAUGGGCCUUAGUGGGAACUUAUUCCAGCCCACUAGGGGCUGGUUUAUCUCUUCCCAUAGCCCAUGAGACCCCUUGGGGCGUGACACCCCUCCCGAUGGUCCCCGGCACCCCUCCCGGCACUCCCGGUACAGUACCGAUGAGCCCGAAACUUUUNNNNNNNNNNNNNNNNNNNNNNNNNNNNNNNNNNNNNNNNNNNNNNNNNNNNNNNNNNNNNNNNNNNNNNNNNNNNNNNNNNNNNNNNNNNNNNNNNNNNUGCAUGUGAUGUUAAUCCUUUUAUGCACCUUAUUUUGCUUAGAACGACGGUAGCAUUAUGAGGUGAUCUCUCACUAAAAUUUCAAGACGAAAUUGUGUUCUCCCCGACUAUGCACCGUUGCUACAGUUCGUCGUUUCGAGACACCACGUGAUGAUCGGGUGUGAUAGACUCAACGUUCACAUACAACGGGUGCAAAACAGUUGCACACGCGGAACACUCGGGUUAAGCUUGACGAGCCUAGCAUGUGCAGACAUGGCCUCUGAACGCAUGAGACCGAAAGGUCGAUCAUGAAUCAUAUAGCUUAUAUGAUUAGCAUAGGGAUGCUUACCACUGAAACUAUACUCAACUCACGUGAUAAUCGGACUUGAGCUAGUGUAAGUGGGUCAUGAACCACUCAAAUGACUAGAGAGAUGUACUUUUUGAGUGGGAGUUUAGAAAGUAAUUUGAUUAAGUUAAACUCUAAUUAUCUUGAACAUAGUCUAAGUCCACUUUGAAUAUAUUUGUGUUGUAGAUCAUGGCUCACGCGACAGUCACCCUGAAUUUUAAUACGUUCCUAGAGAAAGCUAAGUUGAAAGAUGAUGGAAGCAACUUUGUAGACUGGGCUCGUAAUCUUAAGUUGAUCCUACAAGCUGGGAAGAAGGAUUAUCUCCUUAAUGCUGCGCUAGGAGAUGAACCACCCGCUACGGCUGACAAGGAUGCUAAGAACGCUUGGUUAACGCGUAAGGAGGACUACUCAGUAGUUCAAUGUACAGUCUUGUAUGGCUUAGAACCGGGACUUCAACGUCGCUUCGUCAUGGAGCAUAUGAGAUGUUCCAGGAGUUGAAGUUUAUCUUUCAGAAGAACUCCCGGAUCGAGAGGUAUGAGACCUCCGAUAAAUUCUAUGCUUGCAAGAUGGAGGAGAAUUCGUCUGUCAGUGAACAUGUGCUCAAAAUGUCUGGGUACUCAAACCGUCUAGCUGAACUGGGCAUUGAACUCCCGCAAGAAGCUAUCACUGACAGAAUCCUUCAAUCACUGCCGCCAAGCUAUAAAGGGUUUGUGUUGAACUAGAACAUGCGAGGGAUGAACAAGUCUCCCGGCGAGUUGUUUGCGAUGCUGAAAGUCGCAGAGUCUGAACUCCGUAAAGAGCAUCAAGUGUUGAUGGUAAAUAAGACCACUAGUUUCAAGAGAAACGGCAAAGGCAAGAAGGGCAAUUCANNNNNNNNNNNNNNNNNNNNNNNNNNNNNNNNNNNNNNNNNNNNNNNNNNNNNNNNNNNNNNNNNNNNNNNNNNNNNNNNNNNNNNNNNNNNNNNNNNNNUGUGUCCGAACGUCGUAAUCGUACUUUAUUAGAGAUGGUGCGAUCUAUGAUGUCUCUUACCGGUUUGCCGUUAUCAUUUUGGGGUUAUGCAUUAGACACAACUGCAUUCACUUUAAAUAGGGCACCAUCAAAAUCCGUUGAGACGACACCAUACGAACUGUGGUAUGGCAAAAGGCCAAAGUUGUCGUUUCUUAAAGUUUGGGGAUGUGAUGCUUAUGUCAAAAAGCUUCAGCCUGAAAAGAUGGAACCCAAAGCGGAAAGGUGCAUCUUCAUAGGUUACCCAAAAGAGACAGUUGGGUACACCUUCUAUCUCAAAUCCGAGGGCAAAGUGUUUGUUGCUAAAAACGGAGCUUUUCUCGAGAAGGAGUUUCUCUCGAGAGAAUUGAGUGGGAGGAAGAUAGAACUUGACGAGGUUGUCGAACCUCUCAUCCCUCUAGAUGGUGGCGCAGGGCAAGGGGAAACCUCUGUCGUUGCAACGCCGAUUGAGGAGGAAGUUAAUGAUGAUGAUCAUGAAACUCCAGUCCAAGUUUCUGUUGAACCACGCAGGUCGACGAGAUCACGCGCUGCUCCAGAGUGGUACUGUAAUCCCGUCUUAUCAAUCAUGUUGUUAGACAACAAUGAACCUGCAAAUUAUGAAGAAGCAAUGGUGGGCCCAGAUUCCAACAAAUGGCUGGAAGCCAUGAAAUCCGAGAUAGGAUCCAUGUAUGAGAACAAAGUGUGGACUUUGGAGAUACUACCUGAGGGCCGGAAGGCUAUUCAGAAAAAUGGAUCUUUAAGAAGAAGACGGACGCUGACGGUAAUGUGACCGUUUAUAAAGCUCGACUUGUGGCAAAGGUUUUUCACAAGUUCCAGGAGUGGACUAUGAUGAGACUUUCUCACCCGUAGCGAUGCUUAAGUCCGUCAGAAUCAUGUUAGCAAUANNNNNNNNNNNNNNNNNNNNNNNNNNNNNNNNNNNNNNNNNNNNNNNNNNNNNNNNNNNNNNNNNNNNNNNNNNNNNNNNNNNNNNNNNNNNNNNNNNNNAUUCCUUAACGGUUUCCUUAAGGAAGAGUUGUAUAUGAUGCAACCCGAAGGUUUUGUCGAUCCUAAAAAUGCUGACAAGGUAUGCAAGCUCCAGUGAUCCAUUUAUGGACUGGUGCAAGCAUCUCGGAGUUGGAACAAACGCUUUGAUGAGGUGAUCAAAGCAUUUGGGUUUAUACAAGUGGUUGGAGAAUCUUGUAUUUACAAGAAAGUGAGUGGGAGCUCUGUGGCGUUUCUGAUAUUAUAUGUAGAUGACAUAUUGCUGAUUGGAAACAAUGUAGAGUUUUUGGAGAGCGUAAAGGAUUACUUGAAUAAAAGUUUCUCUAUGAAGGACCUAGGAGAAGCUGCUUACAUUCUAGGCAUUAAGAUCUACAGGGAUAGAUCGAAACGCCUGAUAGGACUUUCACAAAGCACAUACCUUGAGAAAGUUUUGAAGAGGUUCAAAAUGGAACAGUCCAAGAAAGGGUUCUUGCCGGUGUUACAAGGUACGAGAUUGAGUAAGACUCAGUGCCCAGCAACUGAUGAANNNNNNNNNNUAAAGUUUUGAAAAGGUUCAAAAUGGAACAGUCCAAGAAAGGGUUCUUUCCAGUUUUACAAGGUACGAGAUUGAGUAAGACUCAGUGCCCAGCAACUGAUGAAGAUAGAGAGCAUAUGCGCUCCGUCCCCUAUGCUUCAGCCAUAGGUUCUAUCAUGUAUGCGAUGUCGUGCACUAGACCGGAUGUUAGCCUGGCCAUAAGUAUGGCAGGUAGGUUCCAGAGUAAUCCAGGAGUGGAUCACUGGACAUCGGUCAAGAAUAUCCUGAAGUACCUGAAAAGGACUAAGGAAAUGUUUCUCGUGUAUGGAGGUGACGAAGAGCUCACCGUAAAAGGUUACGUCGAUGCAAGCUUUGACACAGAUCCGGACGACUCUAAGUCGNNNNNNNNNNNNNNNNNNNNNNNNNNNNNNNNNNNNNNNNNNNNNNNNNNNNNNNNNNNNNNNNNNNNNNNNNNNNNNNNNNNNNNNNNNNNNNNNNNNNUAUAUAUAUAUAUAUAUAUAUAUAUAUAGUCAAUGAUGAUUUUGAAAAAAUUUGCUGACUUUCAAAAUUUGAUGAAUUGAACAUUUUGAUGAUUUUCAUGAUGUGAUGAAUUUCAUGCCAUGUAUAUGAUGACUAUGAUGACAAUCAUAAUUUGAUGAAAUUGAAAGUUUUGAUGACUUUCAUGAUUUGAUGAAUGACAUGUAUAUGAUGAAUGACAGACAUGAUGACAUUGAUGAUUUGAUGAUUUGAUGACUUUGAAGAAAUUUUGAUGACUUUCAAAAGGAAUUUCAUCAGUUGAGGAAUUUCAAAGUUAUGUGUGGUGGCGUUACCCGCCGUAUAGGAAUGAGGAUUACAGACGCCGCGUACCAUUGUCGUAGGGCCCUGAGAAUCCGUUUCCACAUUGAUUUCUUCACACGCAGAGUGUUUUUCAUCAUUAUUUGAAGAAAAACCUUACUUUGUGUGUUGCACAUCUAAGUCAUCAAUUUUGCAUAAGUGUUAGCAUGUGUGCAUUUUUACAAGAUAUUCGAAGAUCCUAGGAUAUUUAGCUCACACCGCAACUUGCAAAAUCUUUUCUCAUCCAAGGGCUUAGUGAAGAUAUUAGCUAGUUGUUCAUCAGUCUUCACAUGGUCGAUGAUGAUAUUGCCCUUGAAUACAUGAUCACGAAGAAAAUGAUGACGAAUAUGGAUGUGCUUGGACUUCGAGUGUUGAACAGGGUUGUAUGCAAUCUUGAUGGCACUCUCAUUGUCACAGUAGAGUGGUACAUUCUUCAAGUUGAUUCCAUAAUCCUUGAAGGUUUGCUUCAUCCAUAGCAAUUGAGCACAGCAUGAUCCAGCAGCAAUGUAUUCAGCUUCAGCAGUGGAGAGAGAUGCACAGUUUUGCUUCUUUGAUGACCAGCAAACUAGAGAGCGUCCGACGAAAUGACAUGUUACUGAUGUUGACUUGCGAUCGACAUGGUCACCAGCAUAAUCAGAAUAAGAAUAUCCAACUAGAUGAAGAUUUGAGCCCUUGGGGUACCAUAAGCCAAGNNNNNNNNNNNNNNNNNNNNNNNNNNNNNNNNNNNNNNNNNNNNNNNNNNNNNNNNNNNNNNNNNNNNNNNNNNNNNNNNNNNNNNNNNNNNNNNNNNNNUUGAGAUAUUUGAAGAAUAUCGACCCCUAAAAAUAUAUGUCUUCAGUUGAAGAAAUUGGUCUGAAGCUGAAGAAAUGAAUCGCGAAGAAUUUGCGAUGAAAUUGAUAUUCCUCAUGAAGAUAUUGAUAUUGAGAAGAUCGGUGGUUCCUGAAGAAAAUCGUUCUGAAGAAAUUGAAGCGUGAAGAUUUACGCUUUCUGUUUUACUUUCUUCGCAUUUGAUGAAUAGGAACACCGUACUGUUAAAGGGGGUCAAAGUAACACUAUGGAAUGGAUUUCCUCAUGAUGCUCAACCCAAGCCAAAUUCUACCAAAAGCCUCAAGUGAGGAAUAUGAGUGACAUGAGGACUCUCACAGUUGAGAGUCCCGACCGUUUCGAUAAGCCAUGCCAAGUCACUGAUCUUAUCCACUCCAACGGUCAUAUUAUUUAAGGGCAUUAAUGUCAAAUCAUGUCGGGAUGCUCCCAGGCUAUAAAUAGCCGCCCCCCACAACCACUAGCUGGUUGGCUGCUCCGCUAGAAACUGACACUUGCCAUAAGAGCAACCCAAUUCCUCAGAGCUUUCGAGAGUAAAUCAUCAGUGAGGAAAUACACCACCCACCGAAACCACAAACCAAACCUAGUGAUUGAGCAUCACUGAAGAAGUUGUUCCUGUGUGGGACUGAAGCCUUUUACCUUUGAGGACUGUGCAUCCUCCAGACGGUUAGGCGUCAUGGUCUAGAGCAAUCCAGCAGUCAAUUGUGGAUCGCCGGGUGACCGAGUUUGUGAGGGUUUGGAAGUCUGCCCUGAAGACUUACCACGAGUAUUGGGCGAGGACUGUGUGUCCUUAGCUCAAGGAGAAUACGGUAGGGACUGUGUGUCCCGGGACUGGGUGUCCUUUGGUUUAAAUACCAAGCCUCUCCAAACCAGAUGUACAACUGUCACAGCAGUUGGAACUAGGUCAUCAACAACAGUCUUCAUCAAGAAUCGGGUUCUAAUUCCUCAACUCUUUACAUUCGCUGUAUUAUGUGUUGAUGACUUUCACUGUGACUGUUUGAAGAAUUUGCUGAAGACUUUCUCUGAAUUUCCUCAACCCCAAAUUCUUCACUUGAGUAAAUCAUCAUCUGUAUUCUGCGUGCCUGUUUGCUGUGCAAUCUGUUUUCAUAAUCUUCACUCUGUAAUACUGCUGUUGUGAACGAUUGCACAACUGAUCCUUAACUGUUUCCGCUGUAAGUUAGUCAUCAGUGAGGAAUUUCCUCAAAAGGAAUUUCCUCAGUGAUGAAAUUCUAAAAAUCUCCUAUUCACCCCCCCCCCUCUAGUCGAUAUAACGCACUUUCACAAGUUCCCAUACAUCAUUCAGCUUGAAUUGAAGAAGUUCCUCUUGCAUAGCUUGAAUCCAUUCAGGUUCCAUGAAUGCUUCAGAGACUUUUGAGGGCUCUGUCAUGGACAGAAAGGAGAAAUGCCCACAAAAGUUAGUCAAAUGUGAAGCUUUUGAGCGAGUAAGAGGACCUGGUGCUUCGAUAUCAUCGAUAAUUUUGUCAAUUUCCACUUCAUUGGCAANNNNNNNNNNNNNNNNNNNNNNNNNNNNNNNNNNNNNNNNNNNNNNNNNNNNNNNNNNNNNNNNNNNNNNNNNNNNNNNNNNNNNNNNNNNNNNNNNNNNCGGAGGCCGGCGGGGAGGCGGUGGCGGAGGCCGGGAAGGAGGUCGCCGGGGAGGGAAUGCAGCUGGCGGCCGAGGCGGGGCUCGCCGGCGACGCGUUCGUGCAGGCCGGCGUGGUCGCCGGCGCCGAGGCGCUCGGGGUCCUCGUCGGCUUGUCCGUCGUCAACGGCAUCCUCAAGCCCGAGGCCUAGAGGGUUAGUGGGCCCGGCCAGUAGUGUUUUUGCUGGCCCAUUCGUGUUGGGUUUAGUGCUUACAGAAAAUUCUGCCUAUCAUUAUUUGUUAACGACUUUGUGGUGUAAUGUACUGUAUUUUAGUAUGAUUUUAUAGAGUGGUGGAUGCUCGUGGUUCAACUAUGUUCUGUAGUAUGCAACAAGAUGAUGCAAAUUGCUUUGUAGGGUUCUCACAUUUUUAUUUUUAUUUUGCUUUGUUGGGAAUUUUGGCUAUAUUAAUGUAUAUAACUUACUGCACGUAAAACAUAUAUAGAACUUACAAUGUUUCAUGAUGCUAAGAGUAUGAUUGGAC
rnacentral:lncRNA from 1 species